rnacentral:lncRNA from 1 species
GAGUGUAUUCACAGUCCCUAGUGAGAUUGGGUCAGUGAGUGCGUUUUCUAUAUCUACAGAUAGUGGUUAGCAAUAGUAUAAUGACAUAUAUCUACAGAUAGUGGUUAGCAAUAGCAUCCUUUACUAUACUUGUGCAUACUUUCUGUAGACUUACACUCCGUUUGGCUCGGGUAUAAAGGGGGGGAUAAGGGGGAUAUCCCCCCCUUUAUACCCAAACAAAAAAAAAAAUGCGGGUGGGAACAAUGUUCCACCAUAACGGGUUGUACACGAUAACGGGUUGUACCAGGUACACCGUUAUGGUGGAACACUUGUUCGCCACCCGGGGUUGGAACAAGCUUGUUCCCCAAGCUUGUUCAACCCACUGAGUUAGAGAGAGAAGGAGAGAGAGAUUUUAAAAUUUAUAAUUUAUAAUUAUAAUUAAUAAAUUACAAUUUUAAUUUUAAAUUGAUAUUUUAAAUUUUAAAUUUUAAUUUGAUAUUUUAAGUUUCAAAUUUUAAAUUUAUUAAAAUUUAUCUGGUUUAAAUUUAAAGUUUCUAUAUUUUAUUGUUUAAAUUUUAAAUUUGAAAUUAUUUUAAAUUUUAAACUUUUGAAUUUUUAUAGUUUAAAUUUUAAAUUUUAAAAUUUUAAAUUCAAUUAUAGGGAUAAUAUUAUUAUUUUCUAUUUAUAACUACCAACUAUUCCUCUUAUUCCCAAAAACCAUCCAAACACAAUUUUUCUAGUUCCAGCUUAUACUCACAAUUUCAUCCAAACAAAAAAAUACCCUUAUUUCUACAAAAACUCAUGCUUGUACCUAUCCCCGGUAUAACUAGUUCCUACUAAUUCCCGAUCCAAACGGAGCCUUAGUGGGUGAGCCGUUGAGGUCGGUAGCGGUUCCCACUGAGAGCUACUUCUUUUUGCAAUAGUUCUCACACCCAGUUGUUUACCCCUUUUUGCAGAGCAUUCAUCUGCGGCUGCUGCUGUUACAGAUUCUAAUCGUGGAAAGGGAGUUGCGAGCUAGAUCCUUUCUAGUCUUACUACAGUGCUAGAGGAGUACAUUCCAUAGGUAGUUUUGGGGUAUUUUUGUACAUAUGGUUGUUGUCUGUGUACUCGCUGGAGCGAGUGGUGUAGUAGACAUUUUGUAUGUACUGGAACCCCUCGAGGUUUUUAUAUAUGUAUGUUUUCAGUUUAGCCGCUCUCUACCUUGUGGUUGUAGCUUGGUUAUGUUUACAAGUACAGCUAUCGCUUCGUAUACAGAAAAAAUUUCUAUAUAUACGGCGGGUCUGUUGGCAUGCCCGAAAAAAUGUGUAAUCCGGGGCGUGACAGAUUAAGUUGGUAUCAGAGUUUAGCGUUAGGUCGUUGGGACCUAGAAAACCUUAAGCUUGGCAAACCUCAGAAAAGCAAGACGUGAGAGGCAUGAUUUAUCGCGAAAGUCAGCGAUUGAAUUGUUUUAACUCCUCCUAGAGUGGAGUGAGUGACUGAAGGAGUGUCUGUUUCGGCCAAGAAAAUUAUGUCGACUGCAGACGACAUAUUUUGAGGAGAAAUAGGGGCGGCCUUCUAAACUUUCGCUUGAUUGGGUCGAGAGUUGAUUGUGUUUUGUGUCUGACCCUUGUUUUGAUUUCAGGUAGCCAUGUAUCGAUGCCGAGGUCGACCGUCGACACGGGAUCGUUCCGCGCUAUCAGAGAUGCUUGGGCAGGCAAGGUCGAGUGCACCCACAGAUUUGAGAGAGCAGUUGACUGCCCUGACUAAGGUGAUCAGGCAGUAGGGUGUGCUUUUGCAGAGGAUGUGCGAGAUUGUUACUUAGCGGUCGGGUGUUAAUCCAAGAGCAUCUGUGCAGCAGGCACUCUGGGAAGAGCAAGGAGCUAUAGCAGUUCAGGAGCCGUCAACGGUGCCAAUGCAGAGAUAGGAUAGAAAGUGCCCGGUUCUGGAUUAUGGAGAUCCUUUCAGUGGUAGACGUUCACCGAGGUCUCCACAAUCGUGCUCUCAGGGUCGUGGAUUCUCAUCACGACAGCGCUCUGGUGGGUCUUGUCCGCAGCGACAGCAGCAUAGGGUUCCACGGUGUAGCAUUUUUGGGGGACCAUACUGGCCUCGAUGGUGCGAGCAGAAGGAGGGCCGGUGUUUUAGAUGUGGACAAUCAGGGCAUCGACGGGUGGCUUGUCCUCGCGUAGCAUCGUCAGCACUUUCGACGGGGUCGGCCCCACUGGUAUCUUACUAGGCUUUUGAAAUACCGCCGAGCUACAGACAUGCAGAUGGAGUUGCUGUGCUGCAGCAAAGUGAGCAGCGAGAGCAGACAUCAAGUGGUAGCAGGUAUCAUUUUGAUUUCUAGUAUCUGGGUUCAUGCAUUAGUUGAUACCUGUGCAUCUCAUUCUUUUGCUAGUUAAGCAUUUGCAUCAUUGCAUGGUUUUGAGAUAGGGCCACUGUUGCAUGCAUGUGAGGUGCAAAUUCCUGAUCAUGGUUUGUAGGUGGCCGAGUGUUGUUGGUUUUGUCUAGUGAGAUUGGGCUUUUUGAUUUUGCCUACAGACCGGUUAGUCUUGGGGCAGUGUAGGACUUUUAUGUAGUGCUUGGGAUAGUUUGGUUGGCUUGGUACUAUGUUACGAUCGAUUGUGGAGCGAGGACAGUGACGUUCCGCGAGCCAGGCCAGAAUGAGUUCCCGUACAGAGGCUGCAGGAGUAAGUUGUUUGCCAUUUGGAUUUCGUCAGUGAGGGCUUGACAGCUGAUGAGUAGAGGAUGCGUCGCUUUUGUUGAGUAUUAUGUGUUGGCAAGUUUCGUGAACUGAGUCAAAGUCUUGAAGGGUUUGGUGCAUAUUGUCGAAGAUUGAAGAAUCCAAGACUUCGAAGAAAUCAGAAAUAUCUCAUGAUAUGAAUCGCGAUGCUCAGGUAAAGUAUAAAUUCAUGUUAUGGUGAUUUAUACUUAGUUAUAUACAUUAGAAUUAUGAAAAUCAAAGUUUAGUGGAUUAGAAAGUGCUUUGGAACUUUGAAACCGGAGAUUGUGAAAUUCUAAAAACUGCAGGUGUUAACCGGUACAACACUGAAAGAGUACCGGUACCGCAGCUAGUUCUGGUACGGCAUCAGCAUGUUAACCGAUUCUCAGUAUAUAGAAUUUUCUGUGUUGUCUUUUGGUACCGGUACCAACUUGAUAUAGUACCGAUACGCAGUGUAAAAAUCUGAAAUCUUUCUAAUCCGACUCUAACUGAUUCUAAGGUCUAUAAAUAAGCUAUUGGGGUUCUCUAACUUAUAGAACAUCACGAGAAUACCUGUUUGAGAAACUCUAGAGGCCAGGAUUUCGUUCUAAACCUAUUUUCUAUAAAGUAGCCUCUUUUAGGUCAAUUCGAGGUAUUGAAAAUUGAUAUCUAUAUGUCGAAUUGAUCUACACUUCGCUUAGAGAUUCUUCUCUGGUUUUCAUCAAUACUCUAAGCGAAGGAUCACCAUAAUCAUGAUGUUCUUCAUAGACGGCGUUGUGGAUUCGGCGUGAUCGAAGGCGGUUCGAGGAUUUGGAUCGUGUGCUCGUGGAUUCGAGUGGCGUUCGUGGAUUCGGGCGUGUGCAUGGCGUUCGUGGAUUCGAACGUGAGGGGGUGGACAACUCAGAGGAUUACGCGAGAUUCAUAGGAGGUUACUGUGGAGUCGGUAAUCACCUUGUAAUCUUUUCUCUUAGUGAAUUAUUUUUUCGCUUGUUGGUCCCGUGGGUUUUUUACUCCAAGUUGGAGUUUUUCCACGUAAAUCUCGGUGUAAUUUUUAUUUUCCGUAUUUAAUUUUUAUCGCAUUGAGAUUUUUGGUUUUUCGCCGUUAUACCUAUUCAUCCCCCUUUAGGUGUUUGAUACAAUCUUUAUAGAUCCUAGGGCUCCUCGUAACUUAUAGCUUUCUUGGCGACUGUAGUAGAAGUGUCUACGGCGGCGCUGGGACCCGAGGAUAUCCUUAUAGUCCGUGAGUUUCCUAAUAUUUUUUCCUUAGAGUUGACGACUAUGCCACCGGAUAGAGAGAUUAAGUUUGUGAUUGACGUAGUUCUUGGAACUGCGCUAAUCUCCAAGGCACCCUACCGAAUGGCACCGGCAGAGCUGAGAGAGCUGAAGGCACAGUUUCAGAAUCUGAUGGAUAAAGAGUAUGUGAGACCCAGUGUAUCGCCUUGGGGAGCGCCGGUAUUGUUUGUAAAGAAGAAUGAUGGUUUACUUAGGUUGUGUGUGGAUUACCGGGAGCUGAAUAAAGUGACCAUUAAGAACAAGUAUCCUUUGCCGCGCAUUGAUAAUCUGCUCGAUCAUCUGCAAGGAUCUUGUGUCUUUUCGAAGAUUGAUCUCCAGUCAGGUUUCCACCAGUUGAGGGUGAAGGCCGAGGAUGUUCCUAAGACUACUAUUCGAACUCGGUACGUGCAUUCUAAGUUCACUGGAAUACCUUUUGGAUUGACGAAUGCCCCUGCCGCAUUUAUGAAUUUGAUGAAUAGAGUGUUUAAGCUGUUCUUGGAUAGAUUUUGGUUGUGUGCUGAUGCAGCAUAGUAGGUUAAUUACUUAUGCUUCUCGAAAAUUAAAGGAUUACGGGAAGAAUUACCCUACGCAUAACUUGGAACUUGACGCGGUGGUUUUUGCUUUGAAGUUUUUGCAGCACUACUUGUAUAGCGAGCACUGUGAGGUUUUCACUGAUCAUAAAAGUCUCAAGUAUUUGUUCACCCAAAAGGAGUUGAAUCUGAGGCAACGCCGGUGGUUGAAGUUAUUGAAGGACUAUGAUGUUAGUAUUCAGUAUCACCCAGGCAAGGCGAACAUGGAGGCAGAUGUGUUGAGCAGAAAGUCAGUGCAGAGCUUGAGCAUGUUGAUUACUAAGCAGAGGCCGUUACUUGAGGAGCUGCAGCGGUUGAGACUCGAGGUAGUGUCCUCUAGGUCUACUGCAAGACUGAUGUUUAUGGUCUUGCAGCCCACUCUGUUAUACAGGAUCAGGGAGAAACAGAGUGGAGACUCUCACUUGUUGAGGAUUCGAGAGCAGUUGGAGAGGGGACAGACAGAGUCUUUUUUUAUGGACAGUUCGGGAGUACUGCGAUACAAGGACCGACUGUGUGUGCCUAUGGAUUCAGAGAUCCGAGAGAAAAUUUUGAGAGAGGCUCAUUACUCACCUUAUACAGUUCACCCUGGUGGAACCAAGAUGUAUAAGGACUAGAAGGCACACUUUUGGUGGAAUGGAAUGAAGAGGAAUAUUGGCAGAUUUGUAGCUUAGUGUCUGACUUAUCAACAGGUAAAGGCAGAGCAUCAGAUACUUGCUGACAAGCUCCAGAGUCUGCCAGUGCCCGAGUGAAAAUGGGAGUAGAUUACGAUGAACUUUGUCGUGGGAUUGCCGAGAACAUAGGGUGUUUUCGAUGCUGUUUCGGUGAUAGUGGACAGACUGACUAAGUCUGCUCACUUCCUACCAGUAUAGACCACCUGGUCCAGGGAGAGACUCGCUCAGCUAUAUUUGGAUGAGAUUGUGAGGAUGCAUAGUGUGCCUACUUCGAUAAUAUCGGAUAGAGACCCGAGGUUGGUUUCGCACUUUUGGAUGAGUCUUCAGACAGCCUUGGGUACACAAUUGCAUUUAAGCACGGCGUUUCACCCACAGACAGAUGGUCAGUCAGAGCGGACCAUUCUGACUCUGGAAGACAUGCAGAGGGCAUGUGUCCUGAACUUUGGAGGAGGGUUGUAUCGACAUUUGAGAUUGGCUGAGUUCGCGUACAACAACCGCUGUCAAACGAGCAUUCGGAUGGCUCCAUUUGAGGUGUUGUAUGGAACUAGGUGUCGAUCCUCUUUGCAUUGGAGUGAUGUGGGUGAGAGGAUCUGAGACCUGAGAUUCUGAUAGAGGCAGAGGAAAAGGUUAAGAUUGUAUGACGACAUAUUUUGGCAGCCCAGAGUUGACAAAGGAACUACGCCGAUACUAGGAGACGAGACUUAAAGUAUCAGGUUGGAGACCAUGUGUUUUUGAAAGUCUCGUCAUCCCGAGGGAUACACAGAUUAGGGGUACGUGGAAAGCUCAGUCCACACUUUGUAGCCCCUUUCGAGGUAUUGGAGCGAGUUGGACCAGUAGCAUAUAGGAUUGCUCCACCCCCACGACUAGCCGGUGUUCAUGAUAUUUUUCACGUCUUAGUAUUGAGGAGAUACGUGUUCAACCCCUCACACGUGAUUGACUUCACUCCACUGGAGCUUGGCGAGGAUUUGAGAUACGAGGAGCGACCGGUGCUGAUUCUGGCUCGUUAGACGAAAGAAUUACGCAAUCGGGUCAUCCCGUAUGUAAAAGUGCAAUGGAGCAAACACGAGGAGUAUGAAGCGAGAGCCGGAGACGGUGAUGCAGAAGUCCUACCCUUUCUGAUUGAGAUAUACGUUAAGUUUCGAGGACGAAACUUUUUAUAGUGGGGGAGGAUGUAGUAUCCCUGAUUUUUGGGUUGCCCGUGGAUCUCAACAUCUGAGGCUUAUCGACAUAUCUGGAGAGUGUCGGAACAAGUCAGAGUCGUUUUGGCACGAAAUGGACGCAAAACGGACUCAGCGUGACGUGAGAGUAGUGUAUUGACAUUGGAAUCUGCAAAGUGCAGGUUUUCAGUAUUGAGUAUCGAUACCGCGCAGGAGAGUACGGUACCCCAGUGUAAAUCCUGGACAGCAUGCUCUCGGGUUCCGCCAAUUGAUGUUGAGUACCGGUACAGCAUCGGGCUGGUAUCGGUACCUGGUGUGCGAGCUUGUGGGCUGAGAGGCCGAGUACCGAUAAACAAAUCGGGUACCGGUACUCCAGCUAGAAUUUUGAGUUGGUAAGGGGUAUUUUGGGUAGAGAUAUGUCGAUACCUUCAAUCUUAUCCCAAUCGCUUUAUAUUUGUGUAGAGAUGCAGAGAGUGAGCUUCUGGUUGCUACUUCCUCUCUCUCUCUAGUUGGAGUCGACACUCGGGGUGGAGUCGCGGCUCGAGCUUGGGAGUUUGUCGCCGUUGCGCCGGAGGGUCAUUCGAGCGUGUAGGCAUCGCGGUUGCGUCGUUGGAGACCGGGCUAGCGCGUGUUUUUCCUCCUUUUGACUUCUCGCCGUAGUUGAACAAGCUUUUCGAGGUGGUUUGAUGUUUACCGAACUCGUCGGAUUUUCUUCUAAGUUUUAUCAACGUCAACAUGUGUUUCUUGGUUCAUUGGUUUAUCCUGCUAGUACUCGAAUUCAUGGAAGUUAUAGGUUAUGCUAUAGAAUCUGAAUUUGGAGAUAAGCUAGUAAUUACGCUUGUUGGACUUGGAAUUGACUUAGGAAAACACUUGUAGAUCCUACAUUGUCAUUUCUGAAAAUUACCAGAUUUAGCUUUAGGAGCUAUUGUUCGUUUGUAUCGCCGUUGUUUGUAUACGAUGGAUACCUAGAUUAGUGUAGGGUGAGUUUACGCUCGUGCUGGGAUGCCAAACUUAUUUUACAGUAGUGUGUAGACUGUUUUGGACUGUCGGUGCCGUCGGGGUUGACGGUGGACCCAGAUUUCUGUAUCAUCGCUGUUAGUGCGAGGUGGAUACUCAGAUGGGUGUAGGUUGAGUUUACACUCACGCUAUGGAGCCGAGUGUGUUGUUACAAUAGAGUUAGACUGUGUUGGAUAGUCGGGUGCCGUCGGGGUUGACGGUGGACCAGAGUUAUGCGGUUGCAUCAGAUUGUGCCAAGGGCAAGUGAGUUUUGGUGGAUAAAUCAUUUUGGCCCUUUACAGUGAUUACAGCCUGUGAGAGCAUAAAUGAACUUCGCAGAGACACUUGUAAACCUGGUUGGGUCGCGCCCACGAAUGCCAUUCCGGAAUGAGGUUUCAGUGCGAUGAGUGUCGCAGUUUCUGUUGGGACGGUUCUUGAGCUGUAUCAGGCAGGGUGGAUCCGUUUGGGCAGCUCGUGCGAGGUUGGGUCAGUGAAAGUUAGUGACAUCUUUCUCUACCUUCAUUGAGGUUGUGUUGUGUGUUGAGUCGCAGCAGUCCUGUCGGACCUUUUUACUUGGACCGGCUACUCUUGGGAUACGGUGUAGCCUAGAUAGGCGAAAUUGGUGUAUUUACAGUCCCUAGAGAAUUUUCUCCACCGGCUAAUUUUGGGGUGGUAUACGAGUUCGCUUCGAUAGGUGGGAUGAGUGUAUUUACUGUCCCUAGUGAGAUUAUGUCAGUGAGUGCAUUUUCUAUAUCUACAGAUAGUGGUUAGCGAUAGUAUAAUGGUAUAUAGCUAUAGUGUUUUACCAGUAUCAUUUACUAUACUUGUGCAUACUUUCUGUAGACUUAGAGGGUGAGCCGUUGAGGUCGGUAGCAGUAUCCACUGAGAGCUACUUCUUUUUGCAAUAGUUCUCACACCCAGUUGUUGACCCUUUUUGCAGAGCCUUCGUCUGCGGCUGCUGUUGUUACAGAUUCUGAUCGUGUAAAGGGAGUUGCGAGCUAGAUCCUUUCAAGUCUUACUGCAGUGUUAGAGGAGUACAUUCCACAGGUAGUUUUGGAGUAUUUUUGUACAUAUGGUUAUUGUCUGGGUACUCGCUGGAGCGAGUGGUGUAGUAGACAUUUUGUAUGUACUGGAACCCCUCGAGGUUUUUAUAUAUGUAUGUUUAUAGUUUAGCAGCUCUCUACCUUAUGGUUGUAGCUUGGUUAUGUUUACAGGUACAGUUAUCGCUUCGUAUACAGAAAAAAUUUAUGUAUAUGGUGGGUCUGUUGACGUGCCCGGGAAAUGUGUAAUUCGGGAUGUGAUAGACAGUGACGACGAUUCCUUUUGUCAUAGCAGGGGGGGAGGUGGGCAUGCAUUUGUGAAAGAAAUGGAGGGAGGUGAAAGUGUACAGGAAAAGAUAAAGAAGAGAGAAUUGGUAAAUUAAUUGAAAAUAGAGAGUUGGGGAUUAUAGAUAGCAGCGGGCCGUUUGGAUGCAUUUGUCACGCCCCGGGGUCCCUUUUAUAAAGCCAUUUGAAAAGAAAGCCGAGUCAAAGCCAAUGAGUCAAUGAAAAAUACCCUUUUUUUAAAAAAAAAAAUCUUGACUGAAGGGAUGACAGAGCCGCCACAAAUACGGAGAAUCCUUUGUCCACACAGAAUCUCCUCUAUAUUUGCACUGCGUCGCACAUAGUACAAAUCACAACUACAUCCAUUCACAAUUUACAAUCACAACGGUAUAUCACAAGAUUCCACAUCUACCAGUUGAAAGUGCUUUCCAUCGAAAAACUCAUUUUGAAAUACUAGGAUCACGAAAAGCUGAAAAACUCUUUUAAAAACUGUUUUACACACGUAAACCUUUUAUCUUUAGAAGCAAGCUACUACGAGGGAUAGAAAGUCAUUUUUCAUAGAUCCACACGAUUUCAAAUCAAAUUGAACCUUAAUAGUCUAAUUAUCAUAAAAAGAAAGGGCAGCCUAAACAAAGAUGCCGCCGGGUCGGGACCUCUAAUGUUCGCUAGAUAUGGGCCUUACACCUCAUCUCGACUCGUACUUUCAAGAUUACUUUGAAUCGUGGGAGGGAGGGAGGGAUGGGAGGAGGGGGGGGGGGGGGGGGGGGANNNNNNNNNNNNNNNNNUGCUAAAGCCAUUUAUAAUUGGUUGGAGCUUGCGAGCAGGUUGUGUUCGAUCUUCAGCUUCCUUCUUUGGGACGCGAUCGAGCUUGAGUUUGCCCGAAUUGGCCUUAACCGGUGCCGUGUGUUCGUUAGGAGGUUCAACUGCUUUUUCUUCUAGUCGAGCAUGGCGGUUGCCGAGGUGGCCCUGUUGGGUGCGCGAGCUUGUUGGGAGAAUGCUAGUUAAGGUUGGUCGAUCCCUCUCCCUUCUUCUUCUCUUCGAUUGUCGGAAGAGGUUCGAAAGAUACGUAUAUUUAUCCGACUCCCAGCCAACCUUACUUACUACGUCGUUUUACUGGUUUUCCGGGGAAUGGUUGAGUGAAACGACGGACCUCAUGGCUAUGAGUUGAACCCAUGGCCAUGAACCGUAAGUUGCUCGUUAGGGCGUGCGACUCAUGGCCAUGAUCGGGCUACGUCAUGACCAUGAGUGGUUGUCCAUGGCCAUGAGUGGUAGUUUGACGCGUUUGGACUCUCGUAAAUCAAAACAUUAGAGAGACCCCUUGACCAUGAGUUGUGACUUUAGGACGUGAAACAUCUGAAGUUACAGUCUUGAGGUGAGAACGUGACUUUAGGACGUGGAAACAACCACAGAUUUCCUUCUAAGUCAUAGAAUUGUUAGCAUGUAUUUCUUGGUUUUGUUCACUAUGUUUAGUAGCUCGAAUUCAUAGAUUUGCAUGUCUUUUAUGAAAUCUGGAUUUGGAGCUUAAUUUAAUAAUUUUAGAAGAUUUGUUACAUGCUGAACUGGGAUUUGACUUAGGAGAAAACUCGUUAAAUCUACACUAUCAUUUCUCAAAAAGUAACCGAAUUAGUUUCAAGAGCUGUUAUUAUUUUGUAUCACCGCUGUUAGUGCGUAGUGGAUACUCGGAUUAGUGUAGGUUAAGUUUAUGCUCGUACUGAGGGGCCGAGCUCAUUUUACAGUAGUAUUUGGACUGUUCUAUACUAUCGGGUGCCGUUGGGGUAGACGGUGGACCUAGAUGUUUGCAUCUUGUUUCAGAUUAUGCCGAGGGCGCGUGAGCUUUGGUUGUUAGACCAGUUUGAUCCAUUUGCAUUGACUAUAGCCUGUGUGAGCCUGAUUGAGCUCGACAGAGACACACUUGCAUACUUGGUUGGGUCACUCCCACGAGUGCUGCUCCGGAGUGAGGCUUUACUUGUGUUGGCGUCGUAGCUGUCCUGUUUGGGUAGUUCUUGGACCGGCCACCCCCGUGGGUGGUGUGCAGUGUAGCUCAGGUACAGGCUGAACGGGCCAGUUGGCAGUCCCUCGAGAUUAGGUCAGUGUAUAGCUAGUGAUGCAUUUCUGUUUCUACAAUGAGCCUGGAUUGAAUAGCUGUAGUAUAGUGGUAUAUAGCUGUAGAGUUUCCUCCAGCUUUCUUACUAUCCUUACUUAUUUGUAUCUUACUUAUACCGUAGACUUAGUGGGUUGGCCGUUGAGGUCGGUGACGGUACCCACUGAGGACUAUUCUGUUUUGUAGUAGUUCUCAUACCUAAUUAUUGCCACCUUUUUGCAGAGCCAUCCGCUGCUGCUACUGUUGCUGAUUCUGAUCAUGGUAAGGAAGUUGCGAGCUAGAUCCUUACUAUCCCUGGUCCUUUGCUAGAGGAGAACCCUUCAGAGGUAGUUUUUGGGGUUUUUCUAUGUACAUACUGUUAUACUAGUGGUACUGGCUGGAGCUAGGUGGUUUUAUAGCUUUUGUAUGUAAAGUGGACCUUUUUAUGUUUUAUAUAUACAUGUUUUAGUUAUAGCAGCUCUUUACCUCUUGUGUAGCUAUAUUCUGUUUAUUGGUACAGCUAUCGCUUCGUAUACACGAAAAAUUUCUAUGUAUUUGGCGGAUCUGUUGGCGUGCCAGGAAAACGUGGUAACCUGGGGCGUGACAAAGGGUCUCCAAAUAGGUACCGCAAGUCGAUGCGGGCGAGUGUACUCACUGGUAACCAAAAGUGUAGCUAUGAAAAGUAAUACAGUAGCAAAGUAAAAAAUGAAGAAAUAUACAUGUACAACUACUGCUACGGUAAGUAAAAUGCAUCAAUCGGAUAAUAGUCCCAAGUACCCAAUCCAGAUCCGCUAUGUCAAUCUAAAGACCUCGAGCAACUGUCAUGCUGCUCUAAAUAGCAUAUAACCCUAGCAUAAGCUCCUGGGCUCAGGGGUCAGAAGUCUGACCGCUUUUCUGAAAAAGAACACUGUUACAGUUACCAAACCACUGGUGUACGUGAAAUGCGUACGAUCAAUGGCGAUCGAUACAAAUAUGAUCAAUAGCUUUCAGCAAGUAGCCAAUAAUCAAACCCCUCAGGGUAUACCGACCGAAUAGGCCAUCGAACAACGAAGGUCACAGAACCGACCAACAAGGUCACAAUGGAUGUCACAAAUUCACGGAUACAAUAAAUAACCGCUUUACUUCUAGAUCAUGAUAAACGUAUAUAAAAGUAAUUGAAUAGAGCAACAUGCAAUGAAGUCAUAUGGUGCCAGGCUCAACAAUUAUAAGUAAUUCAAGAAUAUAGAGAGAGAAGAUGGAGGGAACGUCACCAAGCGUGCACCACUAGACCGAUAUUCGGUCUCUAUAAAAUGUUUUGAACCUUGGGCGAUCAGUCCAGAGGUCACCUUCCAUACAUACAUGCUGCCCACAGCAGCCGCAAGGUGACAAAUUGCAUAAAAGCACCUAUUAUUAUUCACAAUUACAAUAAUAUAUGCAAAACAAGGAAUUUUAGAGCUUUGUACUGCUAACUGAGUACUUUCAAGUUCAGCUGAGACACUGGAUGAUAGGUCUCGACGAGACGGAGACCGUGCACGCUAUCCAGAACACCACGAAUCGCUGUGGAAUGCGUGGGAGCAAGUUGAAGUUCUACGAACAAUGCACACCUGGAGCGACAAGGCCGAAAUCAAUGAUUCGGGGCUUCUUCGACAGCAAGUCAGGUGAGCAUUGCAAUCAACGUUGUCCAGGGGUCAGCGUGCUCACCUCCCAAGGUGUCGGAUCAGCCCCAAGUUACUGGAAUAGUGAGAACACAAGGAAAAAACCUUAACUGGGCAGGCUAGGAUCAAUGGGGGCCAAGCCCGGUUGGCGGCAGAUGAGCCGACGACAGGGGGUUGUGGCUAAUUGGGGAAGGUCGUCGCGAGCGCUAACCGGCGGUGAGAGGUGGCGGCGGCGGAACAGGACCAACCCGAGGCCAACUCAGGCUUGGCUGGAGUUCACUGGUUUGCUACGAUACUGGCUGUAGUCGAAAAGGAUGGGGGCGACAAUGGGGUCUCACCCGGAACCGAAAGGAAAGGAAGGUGACGACGAACAGUGGCGGAGGUGGUGGCAUGGUGCGGUUCGGCCGCCUGUGCCAUAGGUCGAACUAGGGAGGCCCCAGAGACUGUGGUGGCGCUUGGCGGCAAUCGGGCGUGACAGGGGUCAACGGCGAUGGGUUGUCGGAGGCUAAGGGAGGUGGCACCAGGGGUCAGCAGCGGCGGGGCCGUGGCUAGGAGAGGAUUGGGUUAUCCUCAGCGCUUGCUGCCCGAGAGUUGAUUCCGUUGGCAAUGGCGGCGGCGGCGGGACACGGGGGCACCGGGGAAGCACGUCGGAGGUCAACGGUGAUAGGAGAGGCCGAGGGUGGAGGGCUCGGGUCACCCUUGUGCUCGGGCUCAAGAAUAAGAGGGGGGAGAGGGAAAAUAAGAGAAAGGGAGAAAGGGGAAAUUUUUUCGAUGGCUGGAGGUAGUCGCCGGCGUCCGGAGGUGCGCGACACAGGCAAAGAUCCUCAGUCCUUAUAUACGGACAUUCAUUUAUUAAAACAACUAAGAAAAAAAAACAUAAAUAGUAAAUUUAUUACUUAUUUAUAUAUCCUUACACAUUUAGAAAAUUAUUAAGUGCAUGUUGGUACGGGGAUAAGUAGGAACGCCAACGGUCAGCUUUGAAAUGGAUUUUCAAAACCCAAAUUCGAACUCGACUUUAAAUUCAAAAUCCGAACAUAAAUUCGAAUUCGAAUUCGAAAUCCGAACAUAAAUUCGAAUUCGAAUUCGACGGAUUUAAAAAUCAUAUCCAAACUCGAACCCGACAAAAAAUUCGAAGCCCGAAUCCGAAUCCGAACCCGAAAAUCCGAACUUGAAAUAAUUAUUUCUCUUUUCAAUAUUUCAAAAUAUAUUACAUUAAAUCUAAAUUUUUAAAAUACAAAUUCAAAAAUAACAUUAAAUUUUUAUAUACAUAUUAUAUAUAAUGUAAAAUAAAUUCGAGUUCGAGUCGGAUUUAGGUUAGGUUCGAGUUCGGAUUAGGUACAGUCAAAAUUUAUAUCCGAAUCCAUAUCCAUUAAGGUUUUGCUUUUGAUAUCCAUAUCUGAAACCAUAUUCAUUUAGUAUUAGAUAAAUCUGAUUUGUUCGGAUUCGGAUUCGAAUAAAAUUUCAGAUAUCCGUAUCCAUCGACAUUCCUAGAUAUAAGUUGAGAUGAAAUCAUUAGGUGAAUCAAAUUAGCUUAUCAGAUUGGACUACUAAAGGAAAGAAAGAAUCUAUGGAUAUAUUUAUGCUCAUAAAAUAAGAGAAAAUGUAUAAAAUAUUCAUGAACUUUAGCUCUUUUACCAACAAACCCCUUAAAUUAUUAGUUUUGGCAACUACACUUUUUAAGCUAUAUCAAAUCGUUUAAUAGAGCCUUCUCCUCGUACCGAGUACUAGAAUGUCUCGCACAUAAUUUUGUUAAAUUUUAAAAUCCAAAGAAAUUAACCUCUUAUUUCUUCUAGUUAUGAUAACAAAGAAACAAGAUUGAAGAGUAUGGUGACCUAUCUUUGAAUUAUACUUCAAAAUUUUAAUAUAUAGAUUAUAUGCAAGAUAAGCAACUUGAACAAAUGUAUAAUUAGUAACUUUAAUUAAACAGAUUAGUCUACUGAACUAUUUAAGAAAGUUAAAUUAGAAGUUCGGUGUUCUAUUUACAAAAAAAAAGAAAGUUUGUAGGAUUUUUGUACUCCUAAAAAUAAUUUGCAAAAUGCUACUUUUUUUUAGCUCUCGUAGAUGUCUAAAUCUUAUACCUCUACAUCUAUAGAUUGAUAAAAAUUCUUUUGGAUUUUAGUUAAAAUAAAAUAGAGCCAUAUUUCUAGCUAGUGGGAUGUACAUCUUACGUACUCUUCAUUUAAGGAUCAUCAUUUUCUUACUUAUCAUAUUAUUUUUUAUUUUUCUACUAUAGCUCAUUUGGAUUUUUGUGAAUCAUAGAAUAGAGGGUGUAAGAUGUACACCCACUUUUAGAGUGUGCAAAUAAAAUUUCUCAAAAAAAUAAUUAUGUCAUAUCCCUAAUUAUAGCGGAAGCUCAUGUUACGUCAACAGAGCUGCCGCAUGCAUAAGAAUACACCUUAUAUACACGAAGCGUCAACAAAUAUCAGUAUAAAAAAGUUUAUUGAAUCCAACAAUAGUAGGUAUCAGAGUAGAAUAAAAACUAUGUACUAUAGCAACACUGUAAAUAUACAAUCAUCACCAUACUUAUCCUCAAAAUGGUACAACAUUUUAGACCUACUCCACACUCCAAACAUUGUACAGACUGUUAUAUAUACUGAUAGUUGGUCUAACUACAUAAUAAAAAUAAUAGGAGAUGCUAACUAUCCGCGAUCCCCUUAUCUUGAUCAAUCGUUGGUGCUGAAGGCUCGAAAAUAAAAUAUUAAUAAAGAAGGUAUGAUAACUAUAAUCAAUAGUCCUUCAGUGGGUACGGUCGACAACAUCAAUGAUCUACACCACUAGGUCCAUAAGAGACAGAAUGUAGUGUUUCUGAGCUUUGGAUAGAAUUGGCUUCAGUGUUAAUGACUGGUCGACACAUUUGGAGAGUGUCGGACUGAGUCGGAGUCAUUUCUGCAUGAAAUGGAUGCAGAAAUGGACUCGGCGCACUCAAAUAAGAAAACUGGAGUUUUGCCAGAUUCGGGCGCCCAAAACAGGUCUUGGGUCGCCCAGAAGUUGAGUACAGAUUUGAUCAGAAUUGGAAGCCAAUUCAGAUCCUAUGUUCCGGGCGCCUAGAAGUGGGUCCGGAAAUUUUACAUCGUGAUUAUCGUUUGUGUUGACACGUGGCUGGUGGUAGGUGAGAUCCGCCGGAGCCGUUUACGAGCGCAGCACACCGCGAGCGGAGAGUCCAAGGAGGAAGAUUUGUGCAAUCCGGAGGUUUCGGGCACCCAGAAUUGGGUUUUGGGCGCCCAGAAAUGACCGUUUCUGCAGGAACACCAAGUUAGCAGCUUUUGAACCUGGGGUUUAUUUUAUCCUUCCAACACCCUAUAAAUAGGGGGAGCUUGACCCCAGUGAAGCCUUUUUGUCCAUUCUUCACAGUGAACCCUUAAAUUGCAUUCCCAACCCUCAAAUCUCCUCAAAUUGCUUCAAGAUCCACAAUUCCCAGCUUGAUAGGUGCUGAUUCUGCAGUUCUACAGCGACGACCUCCAGUGUUUUGGCUCGUACGCGACGUAGGAAGGUCGGAUCAUGGUGAAACUUGAUUUUCUGGAUUCUAGACUUCCAGAGGAAUCCACGAAGCCCUGAAUUGCAGAUUUUGGUUGAGGUUAGCUUGGUCGAACUGAGAUUUUUCUGGACUGUUGUUGACAUUGAGCUGAAAAUAAGAUCUUUGAGCUUUUCUUGAUGCUAUCUUUGUAGACAGUGGGAUUUUGGACCUGAGACGCAUCACCCAUCAGUAUUUGCUGGAUUUGGGACUGUCCUCACCUGAUUUGGAGAUCGUUAGGUGAGUUUUGAUAUGGGAGUUGAGAUAAUUAAGCUUAAAUGCUGAAAUUUUUGGUGAAUUGAUGGUUUUUGUUGGAUUUUAGGUGUAGAUCCUUCGAGUAGCUUUGUUGCUGGUUGUGGGUGUUCUCGGUUGAGACUUUCAGCAAUUCGUGACCGUCUUGCUGCCAGGGAAUUGCACUAGAGGUGGGUUUAUCAUCGGUUUGGCUCCUAAGUAUAUGUAUAGUGAACAUGUAUAGUUUCGACUUCGGAAUAUCUGUUGUAGCUCGAAUUCAUCGAUGAGUAUGUUAUAUAAAUCUGAAUUUGGAGCAUGCUUAGAAAUUAGUUGAAUAUACAUGUUGGACUUGGAAUUUGACUUAAGAGAAAACCUGAGAUUUGAACCUAUCAUAUGAUUCUACUUCUGAUUUAGCUCUAGAAGCCGUGAUUUGAUCGUAUCACCGCUGUUUCAGCGCGGUGGAUAUCCGGGGUAGUUUAGAAUGCAUUUACGCUCGUGCUGGGAUGCCGAGCUUAUUUUUACAGCAGUGUCUAGGCUGUUUCGGAUUGUCGUGUGCCGUCGGGGUGGACGGUGGACCCAGAUUCCUGUUUUUGGUAUCAGAUUAUGCCGAGGGCACUUGGGUUCGAUUUCUAGACCUGUUUUGACCCUAGCUACUUGUCUUUGUCUUUUUAGAGCCUGAUUGAGCUCGACAGAGAUACGUUGCAUACUCGGUUGGGUAGCUCCCACAAGUGCCACUCCAGAGACGGGCAUUGUGCUUUCACGUUGGUGUCGUUCAUGCUGGUUAGAUUUACUCUCCACGGACUGGAUAGUGUGGAGGUAGCUGGAUAGUCUCAACUGGGUGGGACGGGUGUGUUCACAGUCCCUGGGACGGGUAUGUUUACAGUCCCUAAAGAGAUUGGGUCAUGAUUGACAUUUCUACAGUAGGUUAGUUUAAAGCAUGAUAGUGUAAUAAAUAGUAGCUGUAGAUUUCAUUCCAGCAUUUAUUACUACCUUUGCUCCCUUUUGUAGACUUAGUGGGUGGACCGAUGUUGUUGAAGGCGGCACCCACUGAGGACUACUUGUUUUACAGUAGUUCUCACGUCCUGUUGUUACUCCGUUUUUGUAGAGCCAUCGUUUUCGGCUGCUGCUGUUGUUGAUCAGGAUCGAGGCAAGGGCGUCGCGAGUUAGAGCCCUACCCGACGAGCCGAGCUAGAGGUGCCCCUACACCAGGUAGUUGUUUUUGUUGGAGCUCAUGUACAUACAUAUAUUAACUCGCCAGUGCGAGUAGUAUUGUAUCUUGAAUUUGGCGUAUGUAUAUGGAACUCGGUUUGUUUUUGUUACUGGUUCUUCUAGCAACUCUAUACUACUGUUUGUAGUAUUGUAUGAUUUACAGAUACAGCUAUCGCUUCGUAUAUAGAGGAAAUUCCUUUGUAUACGGCGGAUUUGUCGUCUCGUCCAGGGAACGAGUAAUCCGGGGCGUGACACAGAAAUAAUAAAUAAUUGAGUGGUAUCAAUGAACAUGUAACAAUAUAAAUAACUAUUGAAAAUAACUACUGCUAUCAUACUACUAUAAUAUAACUAAAAAAUGUAAAUUUUGUAUCUUAUGCAUCAACUACGUACAUACUGAAUAAAAUAAUACAAUAAUAUCCAAUCAUAGUGAUCGAGUGAACAGUCAGGUCCAGCUUGCACCAUCUCGUGUUCAGCAUCCACCUAUAGUGGUCUACUAUCACGCAGACUACUAUAUGACCUAUGCCAUAAUAAUAACUCAUAGUCUAACCUCCGGAAUGGCACUCGUGAGGUGCUACCCUAAUCCAGUAUACUAUCACUAUCAAGCUCAAAAUAGCAUACAUACUGUAGUCAAAUGCGAUGAUCAAACAAAUCAUGAUAAUACUGUCACAGUGUCCCAAAUACAGUUAUAGUCUCACACUAUCUACCACUGUCUAUUGGCCUCCAAGACAAUGUCACAUAAUAUUAUAGUGAAAAAUAUACAUAUUUCAAUACACUCUCUACAGGUACGUGUCGAAAUAUUAGUAUUAAUUAUAUCAACAGUUCAUCUUAUAGACUAAAUAAUAUAAUAUGAAUAUAGAAGCUAGCCCGUCAAUUUUGAUGACACGGAAUCCAUCUAUAUCAGCUCAAAAAAUUCAUCGUGAAAAUCACAAGAAAUCAACUCCUAAAACGUAUAAAAAAUUAAUUUUUAACUCUUAAUUUCGUAAAAAAUUUUCAAUCUAAGCGAAAAAAUAAUAAUAUUACGAUACUAACCCCGACGUCAAGUGAAAAAAAACACGUGCCUCACUCAUUGCAAAAGAAUGUACCGUAGCUUGCUUUCCAUUUAUUUUUUGUUCCUCUAUCAUGUUCAAUCUCUCUCUUGAAGCUUCAAAGUGAAAGAGAUAAGAACAUAAACAGAUAAGCAUGGCUAGGCAGACCCCACUAAAAUUGCACAAUUUCUAAAAGGUCCCUGACCUUUCAAGUAUUUCAACUUUGGUUUCCACAACUUAAAUUUUAAGUUUUUGAGUUCGUUUUUGUGUCUAUUUCGCGCCAAAAUAUAUCCAAUUCUGUCAAACGCUGUAAAAUAAAUGCUGACUAAAAAUUUUAUGUUGCAACCUUAUCUAUUUGUUAAGAUCCAGUAUAUCACAAAUUGAUAAAACAAGUGGGCUAAUUAAUAUGAGGCGCAAGAAUUUAGGGUGUAAGCUUACACCCUAGUUAUAAGGUGUGUGGAUAGGACUGCUCAAAUAAUUUAUGCCUGUAAGUGUUUAUUAGUAUUAUGCUAAAAAUGGUAGUCAGAAUCAAAUUUAGUUUAUCAGAGUAGAAUACUUAAAUAAAAGAAAAGUUUACGAUUGCUUGAGAACAUUGUAAGCAUGCUAAUUAUCCGGUCACUUGUCCUGUUAUUCUCAAAUACAUUCUUUGUCUGAAUGACUGAUUAAGUUGUCUAGAGAUGUGAGUGUGACCCAGAUAUGAUUCCUCGUUUGAGUGGAUGUGUGCUUGUGUGUGACCUACAAGCAUAACAUGUCCGCAAAGAAAAAAAAAAAAAGAAAAAGAAAAAAAAGCCAGAUGUUGCUGUAGAGACAUAUCAAAACAAAUUUAAACAAAUUUUAGUCAAAAUUAAAUUAAAUUUAACCAAAAUUUAAAUAAAAAAAUUAGUUAAGUAUGUUUUAAUAAUUUCAAGAUAAAUUUAUAAAUUUUUGAAUAGUAGUAAGAAAAAAAAAAGUAAUUUUCUUAAAAAAAAAAAAAAAAAAAAAAAAAAAAACUUCGUAGGAUUCCCGCCUAGCUGGGAAUCUCCGCUGUGAAAAGAAUGGAGGGACUAUUUCUUAUUCCAUAUAAUUACGAAGAGACAUUUGAAUUAAUCAACCGUCCAAUAUUGUUUCAAGAUCCGUGUAUUACAUAUUGCGACCAAUUGAUUAGAUUGUUUCUACGUGAAAAUUUUUUUCUAUGUAAUAUGUUUAUCUAUCCUAACUAAAUUAUGAACUGAAUUAAUUAUCCAAAGGUACUAUUGUUAAAUAUAAAAUUAUAAAAAUAUCAUUCUCUAACAGUUUAAAUUUUUAGAGUAGCAUUAUUAAUUUUCUCCUAUUUAAUUCAAAUCUACGUGAAGAAUCGUACAAAAAGUCUCGAGUCCAAACGUAAAUAGGAGUGUUAAACAUAAAAAUAUAUAAAUAUCAAUCUCUAAUAGCUUAGGUUUUAUAGUACAACGGUUGUUUUACAUGGUAUUAGAAUAAGAGAUCCUGAGGUCUAGUCAUACUAGAUUCCUAAUAUAAUUAAUUUCUUUCUGCUUAAUUAAAGUCCACAUCACAGGUCUAUGAAAAGUUUAGAGUCCAGACGGAAAGCGAGUAUUAAAGUCGACUUAAAUUUUUAAAUUACAACGAUUAUUUCAUAAUUAUUUCAGAAAAAUAAAUUAUAUCAAAAAACGUGGAAUGCAACAUCACGAUUUUAAUUGUUAUUUUAAUAAAAUUAGAUGAGAGAGAAAAUGGACUUUCUCCAACUCGGAGAGCUUUAAAUUGACAUGGUAGCGCGCAUCAAUCAUUAACUUAAUUCUCUUUUUGAAUAUAUAUCCCUUUCACAGGUUGAUGGAUCGAAUUUCAGGCGGAUUUUUAAAAAUCUAAAACUCAAAUCCGAAUAUCCAAACUAAAAUCUGAAUCCCAACCAUGAAAUCAUCGGGUUUUGACAAAUCAUAACAAAAAUCCAACCUAACUAAAAAUCUAAAAUGCAAAAUCAAACCUAAAAAUCCGAAUUCGAAAACAAUCAUUUUGUUUUUACCAAUUUUUAAAAUAUAUUAUACUCAAAUUUAUAAUUUAAAAUUACAAUUUAAUAAUAUAAAAUUUAAAUUUUAUAUAUUAUAUAAUAUGAAAUUAGUUCUGAUUUGCUGCAGAUUUGGUUCAGAAUUGGAUCCAGGUCAAGUAUAGGUAAGAACCAUGUCCAAGCCUGACUGAACGGUGUCAAAGUCUUACUGAAUCCAUCAUAUUUUAUUUUUUUAUACUCAUAACGGAAAUGAUAUUAUUUAGUACUGGUUAAGCAUGAAUAUGAUGAAAUCCCGAAUAUACAUAUCCGUCGACAUCUCUAAUUCCUCUAUUCUCAUUUCAUACAAAUCCACUCACAAGCUUAUCUGCUAAAAUCAAACCUUCUUACUCUUACCUCGAAGUCUAGCAUUUCUGAUCACACUCAAUUGUCAUGUCAUGUCAUAUUUUCAUUACUUGCCCUUGAGAGCUCCUCUAAUGAAACUAAUAAUCAAUUAUUUCAAGUUUUUAUUUAUUAUGAAAAGACAUAUUAUUCUAUAUUACUUAGUUAUUGAAUAUGAAUGAAAAAAACGCUUCUUUUUAUAUCUGAAAUGAUACGUCCCUUCAUAUUCGAGGUUUCCUGAUAUACUAGUAUAAUUAUCCGUACGAUACGACAAGUAGCGACAAGUAGGUGUUAUCAAAUUAUUAGACUUUUAGUCCAAUCCAACUCGCCUUAAACAGAAAUUAUCAAAUAAUUUCAAAAAAUACUGUAAAAUAGAUUAAAAAAUAGAAAAUAGAAAAUAAAAAGAGAGAAAAAAAGAAGAACAAGAAAAGAUAGAGGAACUCUCACUUGAUAUUGGUUUCUAAAAAGGUGAGGCUUGCCAUUGCUUUCGAUGCUGCCUCAAUCCACCGUCGUUGCCCACGCUUUCUUCUGUCGUCGCCGCCUUGAUCUCCACUGCCAUCACACAUUCAUCGCCUCAGCCACCACUAUGAACUGAAGUAUCUUGUAUGGGUUCUAAAGAACUCUACACAGAAAGAGAGAAGAUAGGGCUGUGGGAGUUAGAAAAAACGGAUGGUAGAGAAGGAGAAAAGACGCGUGGGCUUAUGAGGGGGAAGAAAAAAAGGGGCUGGAAGGAGGUGAAGCGGUGAAUGUUGAGAAAAUGAGAAGACACCAAAAUUAGGAGUUGAAAAAAAAAAAAGAAAAAAAAACUAAAUCCCACGCCUCAUGCUAAAUAAGAAGAUGAGAAAACACUAAAAUUAGGAGUUAAAGAAAAAAAAAUGUAAAUAAAUCCCACACCUCUUGCCAAAUGAAAGAGGUCGUGCCACCUCAACCAUACGUAUUGGGGAUUAAUAUAUUUUUAUAGAUAUAUUUACAGAUCAUCCAGCAAAAACGGCCAUGGCUUUAUCUUAAAAAUAGCGAGUAGUAGGUAAAUAUGCACUAGUUGGUUGAAACUACAUACUCUUAGGAAAAUGUCUUAGGUGUGUCUCCAUAAACCUGAAUCCAUUAUAUAUCAAGCUGUCUGGAAAGUCAAUCUAUAUUUAUUAUUUUCACUUAGAUUAAUUAUACUAUUGUUAUUUACUAAUUAACUCAAUCUUACUCAUAACUAUAUUGUCAUUUAUUGACUUCCCUUAGCAGGAGUGCCAAAAGACUUAAUAGUUCAUAUUUUUAGCUAUAUAUAUUAAUUUUUUUAACAAAUAAACGAAGCAGAUAGGAUGUUUUUUUUUUUUCUGAAUGGAAAAGAAUAUUGUCAAUUUACUUCCAACGAACUCUCCAUAUUCUAAAGAGUUUACUUAAACGAUUGCACCAUACUACUUAGACGAGUAAUCCAACAUCAUUAAAUAGACCUGCUUGAAUUACUAGUCCAAAAUCAUCACUUAAUUAAUCUGAUUUUAGUAACAAUUGUUGUAACUCUAUUUGAACCCAUAUGGGUCUAUCACUGAAUGUUACCAAGAAAAAAAAGAAAGAAAAAAAAAAAACACAUGUAGAAAAAAAUGCGCUCGAUCGUAAAGGCGGUUGUUAUAACCGCCUCUACAAAAUAAUAUUUAUAAAGGUGAUUUAAACCAUCAUUAUAUUAUUACUAAAUAAAUAAAUAAAACAAAAUAAAUAAAUUUGUAGAGGUGGUCUAAGCAUCCCCGGCGGUCGAUCAAAUUGCCUCUAUAAUGUAGAGGAGGUGUUUACACUGGCGGUCUAGAUCGGUUAUAAUGUCGAUCGAGGAGGUGUCUACGUUGGCGGUCUAGAUUGGUUGUCACAACUGCCUCUACAAUUCGUAGAGGACAAUUAAAAAUUACCUUUACGACUGCCUUUUUUUAGUGUACAUCUUGUUAAAUUAUAUAAAAUAACUAUUUAUCACUACUAGCUUAAGCUUGUAGAGAAUUCGAACUCAAGACCUCUUAUUAUGAAACAAUUAAUCAUUUAUCACUAUGCACAAAGAUAUAUUCAAAGGUUGAGAUAAUUCGUUUGGAUUUUAGUUAAAAUAAAAAAGAAUUUGAUAAAUUAUGCAAGUGAGUAAAUAUAAACUGUAUGGAUAAGCUCAAUCUGUUCUACGAAGAUUUGUGUAAUAGGACAGGCGUACCUUGUAGAAUUUUCACUCCAAUCAAGUUCUAAUCCACGUCCAAUCUAAUGCCAAAUGUUGCGUUUCGUUUGGUUAAUUGGCUUUCCCGUCCCUUUUUGGAGACGCUUUCGUAAUGCGUUUGGCAUUGUUCACGUUUUUUCCAUUUUAGUUUUGUUUUAGUUUGCACAAUCAUUAUUCUUCUCAAGCAAAAAGUAGUUACUAGCAAGUUUUUUUUUUUUUUUUUUUUUUUUUUUUUUUUUUUUUUAGUCAAUCUAGAACAGGAGCAAAUAUAGCAAUAAAUAAUAUUCAGCGUAGUUACCACCUUUUCUACUAAAUAAAAAAACAAAUAAUAUAUGGCCAAUUUGCAUAAAAAAUCUAUCAGUUUUGAGUUUUUACAAAAAUAGACUGUCCUUUUAAAUUUUAUAGAUUUGUUCUGAAUUUUAAUAAACUGAUCAAAAUACUUUUAUUCCUCUUUCUCUUUCUAUUUUUUUCACAUUCUUUUUUUCUGUUCGGUACAUCUUCUACCUCCUCGCCUUUUCUGGAAUUUUCACGCUCGUCCUUUUUUAUUUUUUCCCUCGUCCCUCGUCAUCUCCUCUAUCGGCUCUGCGGUCCUCAACAACGUAAUGAGGACGGUGCCGACGGAGGAGAAGGAUGGAGUGAAUGGAAGCACUGAGGUCGUGGCCGAGGCUGUGCUCGCUAUUGCCCGUGAGGGUUAGGAUGAAGACACGUCCGUGCUUCUCCAAGGAGCGAAAAAAGAAUGCAGAGAAUAGGAAAAAAAAUAAUAAGAAUAAAAAGAAAAAAUAAAAAAAAAAUAUUUUUUCUUCUUGAAAGAUUAUUAUGUUUUAUCGCUGCUACAGAAAAGACCAAAAAACAGAGAAGAAAGAAGAAGAAAAUAAAAUUGUACUAUUAAGAUAGAGUUAUACUGUUUCUAAAAAAAUGCACUAUUUGAGCAAAUAAAUGUUGCACUCUUUGAGAAGAAAAUUAUACUCUUUGAGAUGAAAGCUGUACUUUUUGAACGAAAGUUGUACUUUUGAAUGAUAGUUAUACUUUUUGAAAGAAAGUUACACUCUUUGUUCUAAUAAUGCAAAUUAACAUAUAAUAAUGGUGUGGUAUUACCUAUGAUGUCUAAAUAGUAUUUGAAACCGUGGAAGUUUUCGAUGACAACAUUGAUGUCGACGACAAGGAAGACGUUGGCGGCUGCAAAAAGAAAUCCGACUCGCCGAAGAGAUCAACAAGGUUGCGGCGCCCAGAUGCACAUGUGCCGUGAACACCUGGAGAACGCCUCGCAGUGUCCAGACACAUGCACGCCGUUGAGCGCUCGGAGCAGCGCCUUUACCUUAGCCUUUCCCCUCGCACUCCUGCUGUCGCCGCCACCACCGCCCUCCACCAAACUCCCUUACAAAAGGAAGAAAAAAAAAUAAAAAGAAAAAAUAAAAAAAAUUUCUUCUUGUAAGAUCAUUAUGUAUCAUCGCUAUUAUAAAAAAGGCCAAGAAUCAGAGAAAAAAAAGGAAGAAGCAACACUGUUAAUAUUGCACUAUUUCAAAAAGAAAUUACAUUAUUUUAGAAUAACAUUGCACUCUUUGAGAUAAAAAUUACACUCUUUGAGGCGAAAGUUAUACGCUUUGGAUGAAAGUUACACUCUUUGUUCUAAUAAUGCAAAUUAACAUUUAACAAUGGUGUGCCCGCGCCCAAGGGACCCCCAUCUACUCAAUCAAGACAUGCUCAAGGCAGUAGCGACAGAAGUAGAGGGCGACAGUGGGAGCACGAGGGGGAAGACAAAAACCGAGGCGCUUCUCCUGGCAUUCGAUAGCGUGCGCUCGUCCAGGUGGCGGAUCAUCGAUCUCUUCGACGAGUCGAAUUUCUUUUCGUGGUCACCAAUGACUUUCUCGUCGAUGUCACAGUCAAAGGCUUCCAAGGCUUCAAAUAAUAUUUAGGCACCAUAGGUAAUACAACACCAUUAUUAAAUAUUAAUUUGCAUUAUCAGAAUAAAGAGUGCAACUUUCUUCAAAAGAGUGUAACUUUCACCCAAAAAGUGUAAUUUUUAUCUCAAAGAGUGCAAUUUUCGCCUCAAAAAGUACAACGUUCGUCUCAAAUAGUGUAAUUUUUUUUUUCCGAAAUUGUAAAUUUACCUUAACAAUAACACUUCAUCUUCUUCUUUCUUCUAUGUUUCUUGAUAUUCUGUGGUAGCGAUGAUACAUAUAUUUCAAAAAAAAAAAAUCUUUUUCAUUUUUUAUUUUUUAUUUCUUUUUCUAUCCUAUGGAUUUUUUUUGUUUCUUGGAUAAACGCGAGCGCGUCUUUGUCCUAAACCUCAUGCGCAAUAGCGAGCAUCGCCACGGCCAUGGCUUCAUUGCCUCCAUCCACUCCGUCCUCACCUGUGCCCGCCAGCUCCAAUUCCUCAACCUUUGGUAUAGGAUCUCCAUCACUCGCACCUGUGCCACCUAUUAAUCCACAGAUAAAAAAGUUUAAAUUUUUUUCUUUUACAUUUUGCAUUCCUAUCAAUUAUUAGCGUUUCAAUUAAUAUAAUAUAUUUUCAUUUUUUACUUUCAGUUUGUAGAUUAUAGUAGUGCAAAUGAUCCUUUUCCUAACAUCAGGUCAUCAUUUUCAAGUCAUGAGCCUUCAAAUGCUGAUCUUCGUGGCCGAACUAUUUGAGAGCAAUCAUUGGAGACAUGAGUUAUAUUUUGAUAUGCUUAAGAACUCAUGAAUUUCCUUCUAAUCAUUUGAUUUUUGAAGUUUAGACUUAUAUUUUCUAUUUUGGUGUAUUAAAAGUGAUACUCUACUAUAUUAAGUCUGUUUUGGUGUAUUAGAAGUGAUACUCUACUAUGUGAGGGUUGGCCUGUUAUUGAAAUUUGACACUUGAUGCUAUGUUAAACUUUUUACAAUAUAUUUAUUGCAUUUCACCUUAGUUUAUUUUCAAUUUUGUAUUCUUUUGCUAAUCUGGUAUCAGUAAGUUUGACUUAAAAAAAUGUAGCAAUUGUAUGUUACAAAUUUAUAAUUAAAUAAUCACUGAAAUUUUGGAAAUUAUGUAGCGGCGGUUUAAAACGCCUCAAUAGGAAACAAUUAACAUUCUAUUUUUAUAUGUAUAGGCGGUUAAAACUGCCGCUAGUAACAAAACUAUAAAAAAAAUAUUUACUUAGUGGCAGUUUACACCGCCGCUACAUAUUCUAUGAAAAAGUUUUGGGUGAGAGAAAAAGCGUUUAAAACCGCCGCUAUCGACCACCGCUACGUAUUCUGACCUACCCGGCGGUAUAUAGCGGCGGUUUAAAUCGCCGCUACAUAUUCUAUGAAAAAGUUUCGGGUGAGAAAAGAAGCGUUUAAAACCGCCGCUACCGACCGCCGCAAACUAUUUGACCUACCCUGGCGGUCGUGGAAACCGCCGCUACAAUGUAGGGACAGUGGUAUUCACGGCGUUCUACCGGCGGUUAGUAAACCGCCGCUAAGUUUUGUAGGGGCGGUUUAAACCGCCGGGAAAGGUCAAGAAAACCGCCGCCAAAAGUCUCUUUUCCUGUAGCGGGUGUACUUCCGAAAAGCAUUAUGUACAUCACCGCUAUUUUACAGCAAAUUCGAAAAAGAAAAGUGUAAAGAGAGAGAACAAUUAAUUUUCAGAAUGGAAACAACACUCAAAUCCCAUUCUACCUCCAAUUUUGUUGUUGUGUCAUUGAAAUAGAUUUCACUUGAAGAAGGCAUGUCCGCAACAUGAACUUCCUAUAAAUCAAUAAGAAAAAGGGGAAGCAUUUAGAAUAAGUUUGCUAUCAAGUCGUUUUCAAUGUUGUCUUCCAAAUCGACAACGACUCCAUUAAAUUUGAUUUAGAAAUUUAAAGUACUUAAAAAUAAAUUUUGUGAUAUUUUAUAUCAUUUAUUUAGUAAUCGAAAAUGUUCAAAAUUGAUGGUUGAAUAUAAAAAUCUCAUAAAAAGUGAUGACAUGACACUAAAAUUUUAGAUCAAAUAUAUUGAUCUUGUUUUAUAUAAUAUAAAAAAAAAUUAUCAAAAUUUUAUGUGAUUUGAAUUUUUUUUUAUAUCGUUAAACUUGCAAAUGGGUCAAAACGGCCAUUAAAAUUAUUAAUUUUAGGCCCCUUCAAUCACUAGAUAAAUGACAUCGAAAAAUAGCAAAAUUUAGUUUCUAACUAAUUCAGAUAAUCUAAAUCAAGUCUAAUUGAGCCAAUCAUUGAUUUUGAAGUCUCAUCAUCAAAAACUAUUUGAUAGCAUGGAGGCAACAAUGCUUCUGGAAGCACACAAACCGGAAUAUAUCUAUACUAUAUAUAAAAGUGGAGUUCGGCUAGGAUACUAUUGAUAGCACCAAGCGUUUGGUGCUAUUGAGUUUUCUGCCGUUAGAUUUAACCCUUUGACUAUUUUUAUCCGUUAGAUUAGACUAUUAAACCAAUAACUCACUCAAUCCUAGGGGGCCCACACAUCCUAACCGUACAUUUUUUCAUUCAAGGGCCGAAACCUAAUAGCACCAAUAGCUUUGUGCUAUUGAUAGUAUUCCAGUCUAGUUCUAUAAAAGUGUAUAAAAAAUCUUAUAAUGACAAAUAGAAUAAAAAAAUAAAAGAAUAUUUCCUUGGUAUUUAAUCUUCUACUUGUACUUGCGCUGAUAUAAGAUGUUGAGAAUCCACAACCUGCUUUGAUAUCAUCUACUGUAAAUUUGUCUCGAGUCACUUAGUGAGUAAGGCGCAUAAGUGGAGCGGUAAUUUUCGAGAACUCCUCCACAAACAGCCAGUUGUACCCUACAAGCCCGAUAAAGUUUCAGAAUUUAGUGACAUUAGUAGGCCGCGAUCAAUCCUUGAUUGCUUCCACCCUUAUAGGGUACGUCCACUGAGAUCCCAAUUUCAAAAAUUACAUACCCCAAAAAUGCAACUUUUUGGAGCUAAAAUUUAUAUUUUUUUUUUCAAUUUGGCAAAUAACUUUCACUCCUAAAGAACUUGCAAAACUUCUCUAAGAUGCUCCUCAUAUUUCUCGUCACUUCAGAAGUAGAUCAAUAUGUCAUCAAUAGAGCCCACGACAAACCUAUUCAGGAAUUUAGUGACAUUAGUAGGCCAUGAUCAAUCGUUGAUUGCUUCCACCCUUAUAGGGUACGUCCACUGAGAUCCCAAUUUCGAAAAUUACAUACCCCAAAAAUGCAACUUUUGGGAGCUAAAAUUUAUAUUUUUUUCAAUUUGGCGAAUAACUUUUACUCCUAAAGAACUUGCAAAACUUCUCUAAGAUGCUCCUCAUAUUUCUCGUCACUUCAGAAGUAGAUCAAUUUGUCAUCAAUAGAGCCCACGACAAACCUAUUCAGGAAAGGCUUAAGACACAAUUCAUAAGAUCCAGAUAGGCUGCUGGGGCAUUGGAGAGCACAAACGACAUUAUGAUAAAUUCAUAAUGACCGUAUCAUGCCCUAAUGGCCGUUUUAUGUACAUCCUCUAGCUUAAUCUUUAGUUUAUAGUAUUCCAACUAAAAAUCAAUUUUAAAAUACAUUCGAGACCCCUAUAACUGAUCAAACAUAUCACCAAUGUACGAUAGUGGAUACUUGUUCUUUAUUGUGAUUUGAUUGAGCUCCUUAUAAUUCACACACAACCGUAAAGACUCAUUCUUUUUCUUUAUAAAUAGCACCAGAGCUCCCUAUAAGAAUACACUAUGUUUGAUGAAGCUUUUCUCUUGUAGAUCUUGUAAUUUACCAUUAAGCUCCCUUAACUCUUCUGGCCAUUGGGUAGGGUGCCUUUGAUAUCGCAGUCUCGAAAACCAUGUCAAUUACAAACUCCCGAUCUGGCAAUAUUCCAGGUAGCUCCUUUAGGAAACAUCUAGAAACUCUCAAGCUAUGGGGAUGACCUCGAGCACUGGAGAUUCAGCUUGAUCCUCCACCACUGUGGCCAAAUAGACACAAUGAUUUAUUAUAUCAUUUGCCUACAUGAUUGUCCUAAUCUUUUCUUAUCAGUAACCAACCAUUUGGUUUGAUUUCGCUUCUUGCUAAAUAUCUCAUGGAGAGCCGAAAGCAAUUGGCAUUCCUCCAAUCAGUAGGCACUUAGAAUUGCAGAAAAUCGACAUCCCUAUGUAUGAUAGAGGGAGUCGAGGGUAAUCAACAUCUCCUGAUAUGGAUAGGGAGUUGAGAGAAAUCGACAUCUUCUGAUAUGGGAUAGGGAGUCGAGGGGAAUUGGCAUCUCCCAAGUGACACUUCCGAAAGGUCGCAACUUGUAUUUUAAUUAUACCCUAAAUUUUCACAACUUUUAGGAUUGAUUACGAUGUUCAUUUACACACAUUCUCUUGUUCUCUAACUCAAGUUUUGCUUGGAGUUGAAAUGUCACUGUCUCACACCCUACAUUCUAUCAUAGGUUCAAUGUCACUAUUAUUUCCCCUAUAUUCCAAGGUACACAUGAUAUUCAACUUGAAUAUAAUAUAUACUUUUCUUUUAGCAUAGGAAAGGGAUAGAAUCCUUAUUUUCCAUUGAUCAAAUGCUCCUUAGCACAAUGAUCUCUUAGAUCUCAUAACGUACAACUAAAUAUGUUUUAAUUGGAUAACAAAUGCAAAGGAACAAAGAAAACUUUAGACAAAAGGGAGACUAAAUCCAUUUUGGCGAUAUUCCCCACCUCUACUAAGAUCUUCUUAGGAGAUGCUUUUUGAUCUUAAUAGAACAUCAAGAACAGUUCUAACUAAGUUAGAACCCUAAAAUCUCUUAUUCAGGAAACCCCCACAAAACAAACCUAAAUAAAUAAAUAAAUAAAUAAAUAAAUAAAUAUAUAUAUAUAUAUAUAUAUAUAUAUAUAUAUAUAUAUAUAUAUAUAUAUAUAUAUAUAUAUAUAUAUAUUAUCUCACUUCUUCUCCUCCUAACAAGAGAAAGGUAAGUUGAGAUGGUUGCCUUCUCCCUCCUAGAGCUUCUCCUAAGAGCUUUUGAUCUCCUUCAAGUCCCCAAAAAGAUGGAUAUCCAAGAUCUAUCAAAGGGAAAAAAAAAGUUAAGAUUUUCUCCCUUUUAGAGAGAGAGAUAAGAGAAAGAGUAUAAGAGAGAGAAAUGAGAAAGAAGAAGAGUUGUGGCUAUGAUGGGGGUAUUUAUAAAAGUGUUACAGUUGCACUUAAACCUCCCAACAUUUUCUAUUUGCAAGUAAAUAUAAUAUAGCCUCUGCACCAAGUUUCGAGCACCUCUCUAAACUUUCGAGCACCCAAAAGCUACAUAACAACGUCCAAUCAGUGACCCGAGUGGCCGUCCAGUCCGCCCGAUNCUUAAACCUCCCAACAUUUUCUAUUUGCAAGUAAAUAUAAUAUAGCCUCUGCACCAAGUUUCGAGCACCUCUCUAAACUUUCGAGCACCCAAAAGCUACAUAACAACGUCCAAUCAGUGACCCGAGUGGCCGUCCAGUCCGCCCGAUUCCUCAUUUUAGGCAUUCGCAGAGAAGACCGGACAUCCGAUUAUUUAAUGAGUUAUGCAACCACCCCUCUCGGGUUGAGUGUCCGGAAGGUAUUUGGACGCCUGUGGAAGCCAUCCAAUUGUAUUUUGGGUGCUUGCAGAAACAUUCGAUCACCUUAAUAUUUAAUUCUUUCUGCAUUUAAGCUCUCGGGUAGUGCAUUUAAGCUCUCGGGUAAAGCAUCUCGAAGGGGUUCGGACUCCCGCUGGGACUAUUCGAAAGGCAUUUCAGAUGCUCGCAGAAACAUUCGAAUGCUCAAAUAUUUAAUCCUUCGCGAAUCUAAGCUCUUAGGUAGAACGCCUCCUCAUUCUGGGCACUCCACCGAGCUGUUCAAAAUAUUUCGGUCACCUGAACCCUAUUCUGGUUGUCCAAAAAGUCUGGAAUUCAAAUUUCAACUUCCCUCGAAACUUUAUUUAGAUCCGAAUUGAUUUUAAUUUGAUCCAAACUCAGCCUAAACAUUUCCAAAUCCAUUUUAAUCAUGCCUAAUAUGAUUGUAAUCCACACUUUGGCAAAUUUUGCUAAAAUUCAGUGCAUUAUAGCAUGAAUAUACUAAGGUGGUAGUUCCUUGAACAUAUGAACCUAGUUGACAUAUUGAGCACACUUCAUAUAGGAGAAAACUAUAGUGAGAAUAUAGUAACAUUGAGUGAAUCAUAAGAACUUGCAUGUAGGUAAAUAUGAGGAUAAAUGAGUAAACCAUUGAGGUAACCAUACUGUUGGCUGAAAUCGGUGGACGUGAGUUGUGACUUUAGCUUACAAGACCACUAUGAGCUAUUGUGUUGCUUGUGAAAAUCAUAAUAUACCGAAUCCCCGCGCAACGCUAACUUUGAUCGAAUUGAUCAAAGUGAGGCAUGAGUGUGAUAAGUGACGUCCCUGAGUUGCCUUGGAGGCGCGUGGAUGGUUAGAAGUGAGUUUCGGUUGAAUUUUAAGUGUUUUCGGCGCAAACCGGACGCGAAAACGGACCCUAGAACAUUGCUGCUGUGAGACUGCAGCUUUGGCAUUGAGUACUGGUACCAAGCCAAUGCGGUACCGAUACCCAAUAGAAGAAAAAAAUGGGCAGCUCUCAGGUUGGUGAUGCCGAACUGCGUACCGGUACCUAAGGUUGGGUACCGGAACCUCGCGAGCAAACCGGAAGGACCAUCUCUCGGGUUUGGGAGGCUGUUUGAGUGUGUACCGGUACCGCGUAGCCAGUACUGGUGCUAGACUGGUUGUGUACCGGCACUGGAAUCGUGUACCAAUACUCCAAGAUGGACCAAAGCCUGCGUAGCUCUUAGGUUGAGUGGCUGGUACCGGUACUGUGUACCUGGUACUACUACUGGGAGCCCGCGUACCGGUACUCCAACUCGAGUACCGGUUGUCAUGCCCCGAAUUACUCGUUUCCUCGAACACGCUAACAUACCCGCAGUAUACAUAGAAAUUUCUCCUGUAUAUGAAGCGAAGCUGUACCUGUACCUGUAAUCAUACAACACUACAACCAGUAGUAUAGAGCUGCUAAAAAGAAAACAUAUAUAAUAACAAAGGUUCACUAUACAUACAUAAUAUCCUGGUAUACAAAAAUCACUCGCUCCAGUGAGAUACAAACAUCAGUAUGUAUAAUAACCUAAAAACUACAACUACCUGUAGCUGGUACUCCUCUAACUCUGUGACUCGUCAGGAAGGACUCUAACUCGCAACACCCUUUCCACGAUCAGUAUCAGCAGUAGCAGCAGCCGCAACCGAAGGCUCUGCAAAAGAUCCACAACUGGGCGUGAGAACUACUGCAAAAAGAAGUAGUCCUUAGUGGGUACCGCUACCGACUUCAACGGCUCACCCACUAAAUCUACAGAUGAUAUGCUCAAUGAUAGUAAAGAACUGGAAAUAAUUUACAGUUAUAUGCCACUAUACUAUCAUAAUCCAACACUAGUAGAAUAAGGCAAGCUCUGACCCAAUCUUACUAGGGACUAUGAAAACACUCGUCCCGCCUGUCGAGACUACACAGCUACCUCCACGCUAGGCCGUCAGUGGAGAGCAAGUCCAACCAGGACAAACCGACAUCAACGCAAAAACACUAAGCUCGACUCCGGAGUGGCACUCGUGGGCGCUAUCCAACCGAGUAUGCAAGCGUAUCUCUGCCGAGCUCAAUCAGGCUCUCACAGGCUAUAGUCAAAGUAAAUAGAGUCUAACAACCAAACUCACGUGCCCUCGGCACAAUCUGAUGCAAAAACAGUAAUCUGGGUCUACCGUAAACCUCAACUGCACCCGUUAGUCCGGAACAGCCUAAACACUGCUGUAAAAAUAAGCUCGGCAUCUAAGCACGAGCGUAAAUACAUUCUACACUAAUCAGGGUAUCCACUGCCUAUAAACUAUAGCAAUACAAACUAACUACGGCUCCUAGAGCUAAAUAUGGUAGUUUUAAUAUAUGACGGUGUAGAAACGCAAGUUUUCUGCUAAGUCAAUUCCAAGUCCAACAUAUAUAUUUAACUAACAUUUUAAGCUCCAAACUCAGAUUUCAUAAGCAUGCAAAUCACUAGUUUGAGCUAAAAACAUGAUAUACAAAUGACUAAACAUACAUGCUGUCAACUACGAAGCUUAGGAGGAGAUUCGAAAAUUCCGGUAGCUUAAACAUCAACCCACCUCUAGCGCUAAUCCACGAUAGCGAUGGGGCGCCGGAAUACCCUGCCACGACCAGCAGCAAUCCAGCAACAAGCUCUCUAAGGGUCUACACACAAAAAUCACCAAAACUCCAUCAAUAACCCAAAAUUCAGCACUUAAAAUGUCAACUUCACCUUCUAAUCUUCAAAUCAGGUGAGAGAAGGUUCCAAAUCCAGAGAACUAUGAUGAAGUAUCACCCUCUGGUUCAAAAUCUAACUUCCUCCAAAGAUUGCAUCAAGAAAAACCAACAAAACUCAGAUUCAAGUCCAAAACACCAACAUCUCAGAAAAACACGAAAUUGGCUAUACAAACCUUAAUCAAUUUCUGUCAAGUUUGCUCCACGAAUUCUCCAAGAAGUCAGCUAACCACAAAUCAAGUUUCACAGCAAUUCGAUCCUCCUACGUCGCACACGAGCCAAAACACCGAAGGUCGCUGCUGUAAUUCUACUGAUACUGCAGUCCUCAAGCUUCAAUUUGUGGAAUUUGGAAUAAUUUGGAGAAUUUAGAGGGGUUGGAAUGCAAAUUAUGGGUUCUCUGUGGAGGAGGGGUGAAAAGGCUUCAAUGUUGUCGAACACAAGCUAUUUAUAGGGAGGUGGAAGGGUGAAAUAAGCCUCAAGAACAAAAGCUGCUAACCUGCUGUCCCUGCAGAAGUGGUAACUUUCAGACGCGCUAAACCAAAAACUGGGCAUCCGAAAUCUCCUGGCUAUACAAAAGCUCCACAUCGGUUCCUCCGCCCGCGGUAUGCUGCGCCCGAAACUUGGUCCGGCGGAUCUCACCAACCACCAGACACGUGUUAGCGCGUUCGAUACUCCCAAAGCAAAACUUUCAGACCCACUUCUGGGCGCCCGGAAUAUAGGAUCCAAAUUGGCUUCCAAUUUCAGUUAAAUUCAGUACAAUUCGACACUCAAGUUCUGGGCGACCCAAACCAUGUUCUAGGUGCCCGAAACUGGCAAAACUUUAGUUUUGCUUAUUUGAGUGCGCCGAGUCUCUUUUUGCAUCCAUUUCGUGCAAACACGACUCCGACUCAGUCCGACACUCUCCAGAUGUGUCGACCAGUCAUUAAUACUGUAGCCAAUCUGAUCCAAACCUCCAGAACACACCGGUACUCAACCUAAAAAGGGUUGAAUUAUAAUGAUGUAAAAUGGGAAAUGUGAGGGGUCUAAAUGCAAUUGUUGGGGUCUGUAUAAAACCCCAACCCUUACACCUGUUGUUUGCAUGUAAAGAAACACUUUGUUUCUUCCUCCUCCUCAUCUCCUUCUCUCUCUAGACUUGUUCCCUCAAGGUGGAUUGGGAGAGAAAUUGAAGCUAGAACUUGGUGAAUUUCGUGGAGAAGAGGCUCAAGAACUAGGAGGGUCUUGUGGAGCAAGAAGCUAAAGUAGGUUUCUUGCAAUUUCAUGUUAGGGUUUGAUUUAAAUACCCUAAUUGGUUUAGUUUUGUGAUUCUUGGAUUUCUAGAGCUUUGUUUAUGCUACGAAAUUCAAGAAAAUUACACUAUGAGAAGUACGUGUGAACCCAAGGGGUAGAAAUAGGGUUUUGUAGGAAUGGGGAUCUAACAUGGGUUUCAUCUCUUGUAUUCCUAUUUGAAGGUUAAACCGACGAGUUGGGAGGCUCGGAUCGAAGUUUCGACGAGUCUACAACAAGUUAUUGAGAAAAAUCCUCAUUUGACUUUCGUUUGUCGUGGGUCGAGAGAAGUAGACGUCUAAAAAUCGCGAGGCUUGGUUUCUCACACUCCGGCGUCCUUACGAGGUGGGUGGUGCUAUCCGAAGUCUUCGAAUGACCUAUUAUAUCUUUGUCAUCUUGUUGAGCAUAUAUGUAUAUGUAUAGUAUGGCAUUCAUGCAUUGUAGGAUUAUUAUGUGGCUAAGAUGUGGGCAAUCUUGCAUGCUUUCAACGUAGAAAACAUGUGAAAUGAAGGACCAUGACAUAGAAACCCUAUGAAUGUAUGAACAAAGUAUUGAACUAUGACAAUAGUAAACAAGGUGAUAUUGUAACUAGACGGAAUGAAUAGCACCAAGAAUUAUGAAUGAUAGACAAAGAGAAACUAUGUGAACUUUGUGGCAAUAGUGACAUGGUAUCCUCCAAGUGAGGAUUGGAUUGUACUCACAGGUAGUCUGAUUGUUUGAGGGUGGUCGCUCCACUUCCAGCAGUGAGCUCCGGAGUUGGCAUCAACUAGGCGGUAGCGGAAUUCUCCCCAGCAGACGGUCCCGUUGGGUUGUAGUGGUAUUCUCCCCAACAAAAGGGAUUUGGUUUAGUGAGUUGGGUUUAACCAAAUGAUUAACCAAGCGGAUUGGGUAAAGGUAAAGGUAAAAGUGAAAUGCAUGCAUCAUGAGCAUAUUACCUCUCGUUCAGUUCUUAUACAGGCAUUGUAGUAGCAUUAGUUGGUUACCUAUUUGUUCUUUCUUUCUACAUAUGCCUGAGUAGACCUAGUGGGUGAGUCGGCGAGGUCGGCGGCCGAACCCACUGGGACCUUUCAUUAGUUCUCACACCACUAACCUUGCAGAUCCUAGCGCGAGCGGGCGGUCGAGGAUCGCAGCAAGGGCAUCGUGCCCUAGGUACUGGGCCUCCUUCGAGUUUAGUUUACACGCUUUUUUGUUUCAUCUUUUCUACUUGAUGAAAUAGAUAUGUAAAAGAGAUGAUGUUAUGUACUUGAAGGAUGUAAUAUGUACUUGGCAAAUGAAUGUAAUAGAAUAUGACACUUUGUAUUUUGUUUAAAGUAUUCAAGAUACAAUGAAUGUAUAGCUAGUUCGUACUUUCACUUGCUUUUGAAGUUGCUUGCCCUCGUGCAAGCUAUAUAUAUUGAAAUUAAUCCUGGGCAAAUUCUCCAUACAUGCUUUGUGGUCGUGGAGCCUAGAGCGGACAGGGGAGGUUCUGUCCGUUCGGCCAUUACAACAAAUUCAUGAUUUAGCGGCAUUUACUCCGCAUCAUUUAUUUAAAUAACGCUAAUUAAUAUAUUUAACAACAUUACUUGAUAAGUGUCUCUAGAUUUAAUAAUUUAGCAAUAAUUUACUAUUAAUGUUGCAAAAUAGAAUAAAUUAGCAGCAUAAAUUAAUGAAUGCCGCUGAAGUUUCCAGCAUUUUAUAAAAAAUGACACUAAAUGUAAUAAAGUAGCAGCACUUAUUGCUAAAUGCCGCAAUAUUUGCUCCGCAAUAUUUAUUUAAAUCAUGCUAAUUAAUAUAUUUAGCAGCAUUACCUGAUAAUUGCCGCUAGAUUUAAUUAUUUAGCGGCAAUUUACUAUUAAUAUUGCAAAAUAGGAUAAAUUAGCAGCAUAAAUUAGUGAAUGCCGCUAAAUAUAAUAAACUAGCAGCACUUGUUGCUAAAUAUCGUUACUAAUUAAUAUAUAAUUAUUAAUAUAUCUCUUUUUAUUUAGAAUUAAAACAUAUAAUUUUAAAAAUUAAAAUUAAAAUUUAAAAUUUAAAAUUUAAAAUUUAAAACUAUAAAUUUUUAAACUUAAAAUUUGAUGUCUAAAAAUUAAAAAUUUAAAUUUAGUAUCUAAAUUUAAAAUUUUAAAAUUUAAAAUUUUAAAGUUUUAAAAUAGAAGGCUUAAAAUUUAAAAAAUUAAAAUAUACAUAACUAAUAGCCGCUCGCGCAAAUGGCAAAGGGCUUGGUGGUUGGUACUCGAGGUCUCAAGUUCGAAUCCUAGUUGAUUCACAUUUUCAGCAAAGUUUAUUUCUAAAAGAAACAAACGAAGCGGGUAGCAUCUCAAAAAAUUAAAAUUAAAAUUAAAAAUUAAAUUUAAAAUAAAAUUAAAAAUUAAAAAUUUUAGUUUCUAAAAUCAUAUAUUUGUAUUAGCUGUAUUAUAUUUAUGUGCCACUAAUAAAUAAUUUAAAAUUAGCAUUUAAUCCCUUUUAGUGGCAUGUUCCUAAUGACACUAAUUAAUUUAUAUUGGCGGCAUUUAUAAUAAAUACUGCUAAUACUUUUAGCAACAUUGGCAUAGACAGCAUUGGUGUCAUAUGCUGCUAAAAUUAGGACCAUAGGACACGAGUAACGUGGAAUUGAAAUAUAAUGAAAGCUUAAUGGAUUGGGUUAGUUGGUAGUAUGUCUCUAAUGGUAAUUAGGGACUAAUCCAAGUUGUUAUUUAUUCUCAACUUAGGAGAUUAUGUUGGCGGCCGACAACAUAAUGCCGAAAGAUGAGGACAAAUACACUUGAUUGCUUUCAUCUGAUUUGGUUUUGUUUGGAUAUGUUGUUGUGACACGUAGAUGACGUGAGUCGAGUACUAACUUCGGUGCUACGUUUCAGGAGACAAUGACACCAAUUUGACGUCCAACGAUGAGAUCUACUCCGGCACCGCAUUCUGAGAUGCCCGAGCAGUCUGGAUCUGAUGAAGUUCGGGAGCUCUAUGCUCAGGUGGCUGCAUUAGUUGGAGCGAUGCAGCGUUAGGAGGAGUAGAUCGGGAGGCUCCAGGAGUUGGUGUCUCGGCAGGUGGCAGCAGCUGCACCUGUGAAUCAGGAUCCGCCCGCCCCUACGCUACCAGUUCCUACCGUAGUUGUGGCACCAGCGACGACGCCUCACAUUCCGGCGACUACUCCGAUGGUUUCUGGCUUUUCCAUUCUUGAUCUAGUCGCACUAGAGGCCGAGCAGAAGCGGUCAUUGGCGGUGUUGACGGCUUUCAAGCGGUUGCACCGUCCUAUUUUCGACGGGGAGAUGGCAGACCCUUGGGUGAUGGAGGCAUGGCUUACCUCCAUGGAAGCAUUGUUUGAGGACAUCUAUAGUUUGGAGAGAGACAAGGUUCACUUGGCCACGCAUUGCUUCGAAAAGUCGGCUCAAGUUUGGUGGAGGCGAGUUAAGAAGAACCAGUCUUCGUAUCUUCCUCCAAUGACUUGGGAGGGGUUGUUAAUCAUGGAGUACUUCCCCGACAGUGAUAAAAGGAAAAUGAAAGAGGAGUUUCGCAAGUUGAGGCAAGGAAGUCGCUCCGUGCGGGAGUACGAGUGGGAGUCCUCGCAUUUCGUGAAUUGUGUGCCGGGAUUGAUUAAUAGUGAUCGAGACCGGACGGAGUGCUGUGAGCGAGGAUUGCGGCCCGAAAUAUUCAAUGAUUCAUGCCCUCAAGUUGAAGACUUUUGAGGAGGUGUUAGAUCGUGCUCUUUGGGUGGAGUGAGGUAAUGUGAUUGCGUUGGAGGAGUGCGAAUCAUUUGAGAAGGAAAGGGACAAAGGCAAGAAAUGGGUGACAAGUGGGUCCGGGGGUCAGUCGAGUUCUAAGCGGCCCCCUCGGCAUCCACGAUCACAGUCGAGAAGUAGGGGAUCUUUUCGGUGGGUCAUUUGUGGCGGAGACCAUUGACCGACGAGUUGUUCACAGCGUGAGGGGAGGUGUUAUAGGUGUGGCCAGGCUGGACACCUGAGUCGGGAGUGCCCGAGUGGAGCAUCGCCUACCCUGCGUCAGUCCAGUCGACUCCGAGACAGCUUGCGGGACUGCCACCCGCUAUGUCAGCUGGACGCCCAUCCUUGCCGUGUCAGCCUGAGGGAACCCGAUCGGCGCCUAGUGGUCAUGUCUUUGCUGCUCAGGUGGAGGAGCCUGCUGCGGUCGACAAUGUCGUGGUAGGUAUUGUUUUAAUUAAUGAAACCAGAACUAGAGCAUUGUUCGACACAGGCGUAUCAAACUCAUUUAUUAGUAUGUCAUUUGCUAAGACUCAUGGUAUUGAGAUUUCGGAGAGUGCAGAUGCUUGGUGGGUUUAUGCUUCUGAGCACACCUUUAGUGUCAAGGAGGAAUGUGCGGCUUGUCUAGUGUAAGUUGGCGAUUUAUGCCGGCAGAUUUGUUAGUGUUGAGCCGUAUGAAAGGUUUCGACUUGAUCCUUGGAAUGGAUUGGCUCUCGAAAUACUAUGCUACCAUUGAUUGCGGAAGCAAGAUAAUUACUUUUCGUGAGCCCGGUCAAGAAGAGGUGGUUUAUCGUGCGUGUAAAAGCUCGCUCUUUGCUAUGACGGUGUCGACGUCGAGAGCGAGGAAGUUGAUUAAUACUGGAUGUGUAGCCUACUUGGCGAUGGUAGUGGAGACUCAAAAGGAGCUUCCGGUACUUGGAGAUAUUCCGAUAGUUCGUGAGUUUCCGGAUGUGUUCCUCAUGGAGUUGUCGGGAUUGCCACCGGACCGGGAGAUCGAGUUUGUCAUUGACAUGGUUCCCGAGACGGCACCAAUUUCGAAGGCACCGUAUAGAAUGGCACCGCCGGAGUUAAAGGAGUUAAGAGCUCAGUUGCAAGAUCUCCUUGAUAAGGGCUUUGUGAAGCCUAGUGUAUCGCCUUGGGGAGCUCCGGUGCUAUUUGUAAAGAAGAAAGACGGAACACUACAGCUUUGAAUGGAUUACCGCGAGCUGAACAAGGUUACAAUCAAGAAUAAGUACCCGUUGCCUCGGAUUGAUGAUUUGUUCGACCAAUCGCAAAGGUCUUGGGUAUAUUCAAAGAUUAAUCUCCAGUCGGGAUAUCACCAAUUGAAGAUCAAGUCGGAGGAUGUGCACAAAACGGCGUUUCAAACCCGUUACGGUCACUAUGAGUUCACGGUGAUGUCGUUUGGGCUUACUAAUGCCCCUGCAGUAUUUAUGGACCUAAUGAAUCGGGUCUUCAAGCCGUUAUUGGAUCAAUGUGUCGUGGUGUUCAUUGAUGACAUAUUGAUCUAUUCUCGGAGCGACGAGAAGCACGAGAAGCAUUUGAGAACCGUGAUGCAAAUUCUCAGAGAAAAGAAGCUCUAUGCCAAGCUAAAGAAAUGCAACUUUUGGCUUCGUGAGGUCACCUUCCUAGGCCAUCUGAUUUCCGAGAGUGGUGGAUCUGUUGACCCUAGAAAAGUUGAGGCGAUUAAAGAUUGGCCCCACCCGACAAGUGUUGCGGAGAUCCGCAGUUUUCUUGGACUUGCGGGUUAUUAUUGGCGGUUCGUGGAGGGGUUUGCUAAAAUUGCUACUCCACUAACACGCCUCAUGCACAAGGGAGCUAAGUAUGUGUGGAGCGACGAUUGCGAUCAAAGCUUCCGGAAGCUAAAGGAAAUAUUGACUUUGACUCCUAUACUCGCCUUACCAAUUGCAAGGGAGAGUUUUGUAGUGUAUAGUGAUGCCUCUUAUAAUAGUUUUUGGUGUGUUCUAUUGCAGUGUCGGAAGGUUAUUGCCUAUACUUCCCGCCAGUUGAAAAGCUAUAAGAAGAACUAUCCUAUUCAUGACCUUGAGCUAGCCACGAUGAUUUUUGCAUUGAAGCUGUGGAGGCACUAUCUUUAUAGUGAGCGCUGUGACGUAUAUACAGAUUAUAAAAGCCUCAAAUACUUGUUCACCCAAAAGGAGUUGAAUAUGCGGCAACGUCGGUGGUUGGAAUUAUUGAAGGACUAUGAUGUCACUAUUCUUUACCACUCGGGGAAGGCCAAUGUGGUGGCGGAUGCGCUUAGUAGGAAGUCGGUAGAAACCCUCGCCAUGGCAAUUACACAUCAACCGUUAUUGUGGAAGAAAAUGUGGCGGUUUGAUCUUGAGGUUGUAGCUCCAGAGGUUCCGGCUAUUCUUGCUGCUCUAGUUGUGCAACUAACCUUAUUGGAGAAAAUUAAAGAUCGACAGUCUUUGGAUCCAUAUCUCCAAAAGGUGCAGUGAGAUAUUGAGAACGGGCGCGCCGAUGAUUUCGGUGUGGAACCCGAUGGCGCACUUCGGUUUCGGAACGGUUGGUGCGUGCCCAAGGACGAGGAGGUUCAAAAGGCUAUAUUGCAAAGCUCAUCAAUCUGCUUAUAGUGUGCAUCCGGGCGGGACUAAAAUGUACAAAGAUCUUAAAGUGCAUUAUUGGUGGCUGGGGAUGAAGAGAGACAUUGGGGAGUUUGUCGCGCAAUGUUUGACAUGCCAACAGGUUAAGGCAGAGUGCCGAUUUGCAGCGAGAAAGCUUCAAAGCUUACCUAUUCUCGUUUGGAAGUGGGAGGAUAUAGCGAUAGACUUCGUGGUCGGUUUACCCCGAUCGCAAUCCGGACGCGAUGCUAUAUGGGUAGUGGUGGAUCGUUUGACAAAAUCGGCACAUUUCUUGCCGAUUCACACCACUUGGUCUGGGGACAAGUUAGCACAAGUCUAUCUUGAUGAGGUUGUGAGAUUGCAUGGGAUUCCGACGUCUAUAGUAUCGAAUCGAGACCCCCGAUUCACAUCUCACUUUUGAAAAAGUUAGCAAGAUGCUCUUGGCACACCGCUCGACUUUAGCACGACAUUGCAUACUCAAAGUGAUGGACAAUCGGAGAGGACAAUUCAUAUUUUGGUGGAUAUGCUUCGGGCGUGUAUACUUGAUUACAAGGGUGGUUGGCAUAGUUGCUUAUCAAUGGCCGAGUUCCCAUACAACAAUAGCUAUCAAGAAAGUAUUGCGAUAACACCAUUUGAAGCUCUCUAUGGGAGGAAAUGCCGAUUCCCUAUUCAUUGGGGUGAAGUGGGUGAAAGGAUCGCUCUUGGUCCAGAUGUAUUGCGAGAGGCGGAGGAAAAUGUUCGCCUUGCCCGCCAAAGGCUUUUGACGGGACAAUCACGGCAACAGAGUUAUGCUAAUGUUCGCCAGCGAAGUCUAGAGUUCGCGGUUGGAGAUCACGUUUCUUUUGAAGGUGUCACCCAUGCGAGGCGUGAAGCGGUUCGGUGUUUGAGGAAAGCUUAGUCCUCGGUACAUUGGACCCUAUAAAAUUUUAGAGCGUGUGGGUUUGGUGGCUUAUAGGUUGGCUCUACCGCCGAAAUUUGAAGGAGUGCACUAUUUGUUCCAUGUUUCUAACCUCCGCAAGUAUGUGCAUAAUUCCUCACAUAUUCUCGAGUAUGAAUCGGUGGAAUUACAAGAGGAUAUGACCUAUAAAGAGUACCCAAUGUGCAUAUUGGCUCGUGAAAUGAGAGAGUUGCGAAAUCGCACAAUUCUAUAUGUAAAAGUGCAAUGGAGCAAUCACAUCGAGCGUGAAGCCACUUGGCAACUCGAGGAGGCGAUGCGUGAGCCCUAUCAUUAUCUGUUUGAUCAGAUGAGCUAAGGUAUGCGUUUAAAUUUCACGGACGAAACUAUUUCUAAGGUGGGAUAUUGUAAUAUAUCGAAUCCCCGAGUCGCGACGCUAACUUUGAUCGAAUUGAUCAAAAUGAGGCAUGAGUGUGAUAAGUGACGUCCCCGAGUUGCCUUGGAGGAGUGGGGACGGGUAGAACUAAGUUUCAGGUGAAUUUACGUGUUUUCGGUGCAAACCGAACGUGAAAACGGACCCCGGAACACUGCUGCUGUGAGACUGCAACUUUGGCAUUGAGUAUCGGAACCAAGCCAAUGCGAUACCAGUACCCAAUAGAAGAGAAAAAUGGGCAGCUCUCGGGUUUGGUGAUGCCGAGCUACAUACCGGUACCUAAGGUUGGGUAUUGGUACCUCGCGAGCAAACCCGAAAGACUAUCUCUUGGGUUUGGGAGGCUGUUUGAGUGUGUACCGGUACCGCGUAGCCAGUAUAGGUACUAGACUGGUUGUGUACCGGUACUGGAAUCGUGUACAAGUACUCUAAGAUGGACCAGAGCUUGCGUAGCUCUCGAGUUGAGUGGCUUGUACUGGUACUGGGAGCUUGUGUACCGGUACUCCAACCCGAGUACCGGUACUCAACCGAAAAAGAGCUGAAUUGUAAUGAUGUAAAAUGGGAAAUGUGAGGGGUCUAAAUGCAAUUGUUGGGGUCUAUAUAAAACCCCAACCCUUACACCUGUUGUUUGCAUGCAAAGAAACACUUCGUUUCUUUCUCCUCAUCUCCUUCUCCUUCUCUCUCUAGACUUGUUCCAUCAAGGUGGAUUGGGAGAGAAAUUGAAGCUAGAACUUGGUGGAUUUGGUGGAGAAGAGGCUCAAGAACAAAGAGGGUCUUGUGAAGCAAGAAGCUAAGGUAGUUUUGUUUGCAAUUUCAUGUUAGGGUUUGAUUUAAAUACCCAAAUUGGUUUAGUUUUGUAAUUCUUGCAUUUCUAGAGCUUUGUUUAUGCUACGAAAUUCCAAGAAAAUUACACUAUGAGAAGUAUAUGUGAACCCUAGGGAUAGAAAUAGGGUUUUGUAGGAAUGGGGAUCUAAUAUGGGUUUGAUCUCUUGUAUUCCUAAUUGUAGGUUAAACCGACUCGUUGGGAGGCUCGGUCGAAGUUCCGACGAGUCUACAACAAGUUAUUGAGGAAAAUACUCAUUUGACUUUCGUUUGUCGUGGGUUGAGAGAAGUAGACGUCUAAAAAUCACGGGACUUGGUUUCUCACACUCCGGCAUCCCUACAAGGUGGGUGGUGGUAUCCGAAGUCUUCGAAUAACCUAUUAUGUCUUUGUCAUCUUGUUGAGCAUAUAUGUAUAUGUAUAGUAUGGCAUUCAUGCAUUGUAGGGUUAAUGUUAUUACGUGGCUAAGAUGUGGGCAAUCUUGUAUGCUUUCAAUGUAGAAAACAUGUGAAAUGAAGGACCAUGACAUAGAAACCCGGUGAAUGCAUGAACAAAAUAUUGAACUAUGAUAAUAGUAAACAAGGUGAUAUUGUGACUAGACGGAAUGAAUAGCACCAAGAAUUAUGAAUGAUAGACAAAGAGAAACUAUGUGAACUUUGUGGCAAUAGUGACAUGUUAUCCUCCAAGUGAGGAUUGGAUUGUACUCACAGGUAGUCUGACUGUUUGAGGGUGGUCGCUCCACCUCAAGCGGUGAGCUCCGGAGUUAGCAUCAAUUGGGCGGUAGCGGAAUUCUCCCCAGCAGACGGUCCCGUCGGGUUGUAGCGGUAUUCUCUCCGACAAAAGGGAUUUGGUUUGGUGAGUUGGGUUUAACCAAAUGAUUAACCAAGUGAUUGGGUAAAGGUAAAGGUAAAAGUGAAAUGCAUGCAUCAUGAGCAUAUAACCUAUCGUUCAGUUCUUGUACAGGCAUUGUAGUAGCAUUAGUUGGUUACCUAUAUGUUCUUUCUUUCUACAUAUGCCUGAGUAGACCUAAUGGGUGAGUCGGCGAGGUCGGCGGCCGAACCCACUGGGAACUUUCUUUAGUUCUCACACCACUAACCUUGCAGAUCCUGGCGCGAGCGGGGCGAUCGAGCAUCGCGGCAAGGGCAUCGCGCCCUAGGUAGUGGGCCUCCUUCGAGUUUAGUUUACACCCUUUUCGGUUUCAUCUUUUGUACUUGAUGAAAUAGAUAUGUAAAAGAGAUGAUGUUAUGUACUUGAAGGAUGUAAUAUGUACUUGGCAAAUGACUGUAAUGGAAUAUGACACAUUGUAUUUUGUUUAAAGUAUUCAAGAUACAAUGAAUGUAUAGCUAGUUCGUACUUUCACAUGCUUUUGAAGUUGCUUGCCCUCGUGCAAGCCAUAUAUAUUGAAAUUAAUCUUGGGAAAAUUCUCUAUACAUGCUUUGUGGUCAUGGAGCCUUGGGCAGACAUGGGAGAUCUGUCCAUUCGGCGUCCGAACCGAUCAAAUUGGCGGUCACGGGGCAUGACAACUCCAUUAGCUAAGACCUUCCGGAAGUGUAGUUAUGGAAGUACCUCGAUUAUUUUAGCUCCUUUAUGCCUUUAGUUAGGGUAGCUCGAUUAUUCUCAUCUCAUGCUUACUAAAGGGGAAUAGUUUGAUCAUUUUCGGUUUCCCAUGAAGGUUAGUAAGGACCAAACCCUAAAGUUGGUCAAGGUUGUUGGAUAUGACAUUGAUAGUUUUUUCUCUAGAACAUAAUGCAUGAAUAUUAGGCAUCGUUGACAAUUUUAUAACUUGGUAGACGCACAGCAAUGGCAUCUAAAUAUGUAUGUUCUUUAUCAUGCUUAGUACGUAGUAGUUUUAUUCAUCUUACUUAUCUCCUACUUAUGUCUCCUUUGGAUCGAGUGUAGAAUGCCAUUUUUGGUGGUUGCACCCUUUAAGAACUUGAAGUUGUCUCCUUUAGAUCGAGUAUAGAUUGCCAUUUUUGGCGAUUGCAACUACAACAAAAACUGUAUAUAGCGACACUUUUAAAUAUCGAUGCAUGUCAAAAAAAAGUGCAGCUGGCUAAAUUACCAACACUUUUUAAAAGUGUUGCUAUAUAUAGGGUCGCUAUAUGUAGGAUCGCCUUGAUGUUUGGCACCCACUCCUUCAGCAACCUAUGGCGGAGGGAUACGUGGCGAUUGUAGCCUUCUACGGUCCCUUCGAGAUCAUCGCGGCUGAACUCCAACUGCUGGAACCUUACCUUGUCAGCUGCGGCGGCGGAGGAGGAGAAGAAGAGAUGGUGAUCAUUUUUUUUCUUCCUUUUCUAUUUGUAAUCGGGCCGAGUGGGCUAGGUGAAGUUGGUUGAGUAAAGGAACUUUUUGUUUUUGAUUGGAUUGAAUUUUAUAUUUAAGUCUUACUAGAUUUUUUUUAAAUGUUUGGCAUAAAUUGGACACUUCGACAAAAGUGUCCCCAAAAAUGUGUCCGUAUAAUCUAAUUCACUUGUAGGGCACCUUUUAAGAACUUGAAGUUCUUACUCCUUUAUUGUUGACAUUUUUACAGAGCCAUCAAUCAUCUAUGAGACGCACAAGCGCGGCAAGAGUUGCGUGAAUCAGAUAGACCACUACCUAGCUACAUCGGCCUAAUGAAGGCACCAUCUUGUAAGAGAGAAAAAUUAUUUUCUUUUUUUUUUUUUGAGAGAGAUAGGUAGCACGCUACCCGCUUCGUUUAUUUCAUCUAGAAAUAAACUUAGCUGAAAAAGUUGGAUACUAGUUAUAAAAAAUCAUAGUAACUAGUGUAGUGACCCACGCGAUGCGGCGGGUAGAUAUAUAUUAUAAUUUUUUAAAAUUUAUUCUAUAAGUUAUUUUGUAAAGAGUAGAAUAUAUUUACUUUAAAAGUUUUAGUAAAUUUAAAGUAUAUUGAAAAGUAUGAAGAAUUUUUUUUUUGAAUAUUCUAAUUUCUAACACUGAAGCGUCACGAUAAGUAUCGAACUACAUUUAUUUCCGAUAACUUUAUAUAGAUACCUUAUUAUAUAGUUAGUGACGUAUAGGUUUAAUUAGAAACAAUAUAAAAUAUAUUUAGUAAACAAAUUCCAACUUAUUCACUAGAUUGCAUUAAGUAUGGCGUUAGGCUGCAUCNUUUAGCAAACAAAUUCCAACAUAUCCAUUAGAUUUCGCUAAGUAUAGAGUUAGGUUACGUAAUAGUUAAUCAUUUCAAAAAUUCUAAACCCGAAUGUAAACAAAUCUAUCAAAAUUAGCAACACAAUCAAAUUAUUAUAUAAUGGAGAAAAUAUGAUUUGUAAACAAAAAUAAACAUAAAAACUUAUAACAUGGAACCAAAAUAAUGAAAACAAAUAUUAAAAAAAAUAUAGAAAUGUUAAAAAAAAUAUUUACCUCAAAUUGAAAAAGUCUGGAAAAAGAAAAAAGGCCCAUAAGCCACAAACCAUGUUAGAUGGCAAGUAAAUAGAUACGGGAGAUAACAAAUCGUACAAUGAAGCAAUAGGCAAUGCACCCCCAUUUCAACCAUGACAUGGUGAGAGUUGUUUAAGAAGAAUUUCUCUAUGAGUGGAGAGAAUAUAGCUUUUGGUCCUUCUCUGGAAAUAUAUGACUUUAAAUUUAGCAAUGACUCAUAUAGUAGAGGCUCAAAUGGAUCCUUACCAUAUAUAUAUCCAUUUGUUCUGCAACAUAUGAACAUCUAUUAGAAAAACCUGACUUUAAACAUGAAUCGUAAAGCUACAAAUUUUGUUCUUUCUUUUCAAAAAAUCAGAGCAAAAUAAACCACAUACUAUGGAGCAAAGCAUCAAAGAUAGGCCUCGAGGAAAUGAACCACUGUUAUGCUCUCUAAGGGAGAACUCAAUCGUGUUCAUGGAAGCCUCCACAGCAUCGAGUGCAAAACCUUCCUCUACUAGACUCUUAAAAGUAUUCACAAUUAAUUCUUCAACUUUACGAACGUCGUCUUUGGAGAGACCAUUCAUUCCAACGGAAAAUAUGGGUUGAGGAAACUCAUUUCCAAUUCCAUUACCAAUAAUAUCAUCUCCAAAGCCACUUUCCAGUAAGAUCUUUCUCAGGGAAGAAGCGGGCGUCCGAAGCAAGAGAUGAUUCAAAAUGCGAAGUUUAAGGUCAGUUUCUACAUCUAACAUCUCUUCAGAUAAAAGCCAUGAUAGAUAUAUCAUGUAUUUCCUUGCAAAGUCACCUUCUUUGCUGACAGGAUAUCUCUCAGUAAUUCUCUUUGGUGUUUUGAACAUUUUUUGAUAUCGAACCUUCAAUGUUUCAGCAGAAUCUCCUUUGAAUAGAUCAAGGUAUACUGAAAUCAGAAAGAAAAGAAGAUUGGAAAAGAAUUGUUUAGUCACAGAACAAACAUUUAGCUAGAGUUAGUUUGCUAAAUUUUAGUACUUGAUUCCCAAUCUUGUAAAACACCACAUAUACAUGAAAAGAUAUUUAAAGUUGUCAUAUUGUCAACCACCUGGAGAAAAGUAAUUUCUAACCAGCUAAGAUACGUAAUCGUUCAUUUGGAUCAUCAUCUCCAUAAAACCAUAUCUUAGCAUUGCUAGGUUUGUAGUGUUUACGGUGGAAUUCCUGAAAGAAAUGUCGAGCAUAUUUUAAGCAUCCUCACACUGAAAAGAUCAUACAUGCAGUAAUGUAAUUAACAGUAUUUGAAAGACCUUGAACAACUCUACGGAUAUUUCAAAAUAAUUAUCAAAUAUCGACCCACAUACCCUUAAUAAAACAAAGAUGCUCCUCCAUUCAAUGUUAUGAUUAAUUCCGCCAUAUAGCAGCCGCAUUCCAUAGCAGUCAAUUGCAGAGUUCCAAUUUUAAUCUUCAUGCUCAUGGUAAGCCCGACCUCCAUUCCUUCAUCUUUACCCAGAAGCAGGAUCAUUAAUUACGUUUUUAUUAAAAUAUGUAUACAAUAUAAGCGCGCAGGCAUGAAGAAGGGAAACAAAGAAGUAAAUGCCAAAUAUCAAUGGCUCUUAUAGUGAAGCUCAGCAUAGUCAAACUACGGAAGAGAAUAUUGAGUAAAAGUAAAAACACAUGACUACUAUGAUCAUUAAUCAGAUAAUGAAUGUAAAAAGGGUGCAAUUUGUUUACAGAUGCUACGAAAUAAAAAAUGUGUGCUAAAAUGUUACCUCUAAAUUUCGGACGGAGGGGUCGGUGAGGGCGUGGCCGCGCGAGGGCGGAGCCGCCGCGGAAAGCUCGUCGGGCCGCCAGAGCCUCAUGGUCUCGUCGAGUGAGCCUGUGAGGAGGAGCGCGGGGCGGGAGUUGGUGGCAGGGACCCACGUCGCCGCCCAGAUCGACUCGUCGUGGGCGUUCUCCACCGAUCUGAGCCUCGCAAGCUUCGUGGCCGCACCCCACCCCCCACGAUCGAGAGAGCUAGGGUUUCGAGGAAGGGGAGAGAUCGAAGGGAUAAAGGGGAUCGAAGAAAAGGGGCGGAGAGGAGACGAGAAGAGGAGAGAUAGGGGGAGCAACCGGAUCGAAGCGGCGCAAGGAAUAAUAGGUGCUAUCGAAGAGGCGGGGGGUACAAAGUGGAGACGCGUAAGGAGAUGAAGCGGUGGAUUCAAUUAAGCUAAGACUUAAGGUAAUUAUGCCACAUGGAUUCAAUUACAGGGAUUAAUAGGUUUAUAUAGAUAACUAGUCUAACUCUUAUACUUUAUUGUCCAUGAUUUUGUAGGUAUCAUACGGGUUGUUGUGUGCUAAUGCCCUGUGCGAGUUAGAAAAAUCCUAUCCAUUCGGCAGGUUUGUUGCACGCGCCUGGAAAGUUCCCACAACAUAACAUUAAUUUUAUAAUUCCACUACAAAAUAACAAAAUGUGCAAAUGUAGGCUUCCUCAGGUAUUGCCUUUUAUUUGUUAAAUAAAAUAUUCAUACAAAAAAGUAUAUAAUCGGAUCGUAGAUUACUCACAAUCAUUGCAUCAAUGAUGUUCUAACCAAUAACAAAAAAGUAAAAACUGCAAAAUUUUAUUUUUUGCUUCUUUAGAGAGUCAACACACAAUCUAUGUUGCAUCACAAUCGAGUCAAACAUAAAUAAGAAUAAAGAAGUCCAUUCGACGGCAUGACUGGGCAAAUCUGUUUAUGGCCCAAAAACCUCCUCCUUACACAGUGGGCAGAUCUGUUUCAGCAACAAGUUGAAAACUUUAGAUCUUACCAUGAAUAAAUUGCUCUAUUCACAUUACAAUAAAUACACAGGGCUUGUGAAAGUUGAUAAUGAUCCAAAUUCUCAAAGAAGAAGAAGAAGAAAGAAAGAGAAAACUGAGCUAUAACUGAUCACUUAUUUAUUUAUUUAGACUGUCAAAUGGUUAGACCAGUAAUUAAUGGUUUUAUACAAAGAUAAUAUUUGAAAUGAGCAUAUGCAUUGAUUUAAUAACAUGAUGCAAACAGAUUAUAAAAUUUGUAAUUUGUCUAAGAUAUAUACGUAAGAUUGCUCCAUUAAAUCAAAAUAUAUGUCAAAAAAAAAAAAAAAAAACUUUCCAAGAUGAUUAUGGUAUUUCAUUUUGUUGUUGCUUACACUAAAAAGUUUUGCUUAGGUUAAACUCUGCGAUCAUGAUGUUAUUCCAUUGAAACCUUACAAGAACCUAUAUUGAUAUUGUAGCGCAAUAGAAAAGAAUUUACGUACCUUGUUGAUCUUCAACCAUGGAGUUAUACAGUCUGCAUGGUAAACAUGAUUACACGGUCGUAAAUAUAUUCGCCAUUGUCCGUUUCUAUAUUCUGACAAACAGAUUGCGCAUCUGCAGUAAGAAAAGACCAUUAUCAAAAGGGAAUGAAGUACCAAACAAACAAUCCAUGUAAAACAUAAAUAUUGCAACAAAAGAUUAAUUCAAUUUAGUAAAAGUUCACAGAAGCACAACAUCCUCAAGCGUCCUAAUAAUAUCAUCAAAUUUAUACUUUUUAUUGAUCACUUGUAUUCCGGAUCAGUGGGUUCACCCGCAGAACAUGCACAAGAAAGGCCACCGGAAUUUCAUAUUUCAUUCUUGAAACUAAAAUACAUGACAACUCCUUUUAAUUUAAACAUCAUCAUAAUUGUAUCUGACAGAACUCAAAUUAGUAGUGAAAAUAAAAAAAAAAAAAAAAACUAUACAUAAACCUUGUAACAUUUAAAAUAUUUGGACAUUCCAAUCUCAACUUUUCAAACUUGAUUUACAUAAACCUAUGUUUAAGUUAGACAAUAAAUAAUGAAUGUUCAAGUAACUUAAUAGAUUCUGACUGUAUUUGGUAUACAAUUUCAUGCUUAAUAUUGAUGCAUGAUAAAAUAUUGUUUUGUCAUCAUAACUUGACUGAUCUCCAAAAUUGGUUUAAGAGUUUUAUAUUGUUCCCGACAAUUAUGAAAGUGUCUACAAUUGAAGUAAUGCUGGAUGCUAAUAAUGGAUAUUACAACUGAUCUCGGAGGAUCUAGCAAGAUAGUCAAGUUUCACGUAGGGACAGACAUCAGCGUCCUUAAUUUAGAGGGCAAAUAUUCCCCAUAGGGCUCCAAUUGAGGAGACGAUCUUAUCUUCGCACUUCCAGAUUGAAGAGAAAUAGAUAGGUUGGCAACCAAAUUUAUUCUAAAGCUUUGGAGCAUUUCGCUGAGAACUCCAAAGUUGCAAUCAAAGUUAGCUAGGCCUUCAAUUUAUAGAAACAUUGACCAUGAAUAAUUUCUUAUCCAUAAGAAAUAAGAGUUUGUUCUAAGUCGAUUUUGAUGCAAUUAACUCUUUCGAGAUAUGAUGUAUGAAUAUCUUUUUUUUCCCUAAAGAAUUAGGAGGCUGUUUUAAAUCAAUUUUCAUAUAGAGAUACACUUUUAAGAUAUAAUAUAAGCGGUUUGACCUUAUAUAAACUGAAGAUACAAAUUUCGAGAACCAUUGAAGAUUCUUGAUUUUGUGCCGCCUUAGUAGAAAUAGGACUCAAGGCCUUAUCUACAGAACCCUUUAUAAUCAAUUGUUAAUAAAAUGGAUUAAUGGCACCAUUAGUCCCCAACCUUUUCACCUUUUUUUCACUUUACUCCCAACCUUUUUUUUUUUUUUGUGCAAUCUAGUCUCCAACCUUUUCAUUACAAUUAGGUUCCAACCAUUAAGAAUGCUGUUAAAAUUGACGGAGUGCGCAAUGUCAGCGCCAACACCUACGUGGCUUCUCUAGCCACCAAAGGAAAAAAAAAAAAAAAGAAAAAAAAAAAAAAAAAAGAAAAAGAUGAAAAGGUAGGGGAACAGUUGUGGAAUUGAACUUAAAAUUUUAAAUUUAAACAAAAAAUUUGAAAUUAGGAUUAGAAUUAGAAUUUAAAUCCAGUAUUUUGAUUUAAAAUAAAUUAGAAAAUUUGCAUUAGAAUUCAAAUUUUGAAUUUGAAUUUUCAUUUCAAAUUUUAGAAUUUAACAUUCAUAUUCGGAAUCAAUAUUAAUUGACUCUAAGUUUGAAUUCGAACUCAUAAUCAAAAUUUGAAUUUUAAAUUUAAAUUUUAAAUCUAAAUAUGACUUUCUUAUUUGAAUUCGACAACUCAAUUACAUUUCAAAAUUUAAAUUCAAAAUGAAAAAUUGAAUUUGAAUUUAAAAUAGUAAAUUCUAAAUCUGAAUGUGAAUUUCGAUUGAUAUUUGAAUUAAAACUAUGAAUUUGGGAUUUGACUAAAAUUUAGAGUCAAUAUUUUUUCCAAAUACCAAAAAUAAUUUUCAAAAUUUAUAAUCAAAAUUCAAGUCUUAUUUUAUUGUCAAAUUUAAAAUUUGAAUUACAAUCAAAUUUCUAAUUGAAGUUAAAUAAAAAAUUGUAGCUAUAAAUUCAAAUUUUAAUUUUUAAUUUUUAGAUUUUUCGUUUAAAUUAAAAUUUUAAUUCUAAUUGCAUCAUUGAUCUCCAACCUUUUCUCAUUUUUUUCACUUUGGUCCCUGGCGCUGACGUAGAACAAUCAGUUUAAUUCUAAUUGCACCAUUGAUCCCCAUUCUUUUCAAAUUUUUCUCUCUGGUCCCUAGCACUGACAUUGCGCAGUUAGUCAAUUUUAAUAGCCCUUUUAACAAUUGAAACCUAAUUAUAAUGAAAUGAAAAGGUUGGGGACUUGAUUGCAAAAAUAAAAGGUUGGGCGACCAAAGUGAAAAAAAAAAAAUGCAAAUUAAGUUAGAGAUCAACAGUACAAUUAGCCCUAAUAAAAUUGAGCAAUCUUCCACUCCCAAGCUUCUUUUAUGGAGAUCAUAGAUCAGCAUCAACAUACGGACCUUUAUUUAGAUAUCUUCUUACACAUCUCAAAAAACUAUCUACCUUAGAAUCAUACUGAAUAAGAUAUUCUAGCAUCCAAAAGGUCUGAGUGAGUUGAUAGUUAUGCUCCGAAUUACUAAUUUGCACAAAACAGGAUGUAGAACAGACAAACAUAGGAAACUAGUAUAUAGCGUACGUUGUUCAAAAACAUGAAAGGAUAUAUGGAAAAUAAGAACUUCAGAUAUAUUAAAAUUGGUAAGUUUCUAGAUAGCAGAAUAUCUACCUAUGAUGUACGCAAUAAUUCAGAUACAUGAAUAUGGAAGGAACUAGUUGAAACAUACUUGUCAUUAUUCCGUUCUCUUGAGAAGAAGCCACGCUCAUACUUUUCAAUCGGCAAGUAGGAGAUAACCUCAUCAGAUAAUCCUCUACUUUCAUUGCCUACUUCUUCCACUAAUGAUGCUCUUUCCUUCAAUAGCAAAAGAAAUGGCUUAUCUAAUUUAGAGAUAUAUAGACCAAAACUAUGAAGUUCACAAAAAAAUAUGCAGAAGAAUCGAGCUAUAUAACUCCGUUUGUAAGUUGUUUUCGAUGAUGGGACAUCUGAUUCGACGAUUGGCUCCGCUAGAUAUGAUCUACACUAUUAGAACUAUUUAGAAAUCAAAAUUUAUAAUUUUUUGAUUUCAUUUGCCUAGUGAACAAGUAGCCUCAAAAUGAACGGCUGAAAAUAAAAAUCUUAUAAAAAAUAAUUAUAAAAGACUCAAAUUUCAAAUUGAAAGUAUUGUUAUUGCUUUUGAUGUUAACUAGAAUUUUCUGUUAAAGUUUCAUGUAAUUUGAAUUCUUCUACACCGUUGAACUUACAAACAUGACAUAUCGGCCGUUAAAAUAGUCACUUUUUAGACCCUUUGAUCACUUGGUAAACGAUGUAAAAAAAUUAUGAAAUUUGUCUUCUAAUUAGCUCUAAUACCGUAGAUCAUAUUUAACGGAACCGAUCGUCGAAUCGGAUGUCCUAUCAUCGAAAAAAUUUACAAGUACAAAGGCCUUUGUGCUUUCGAAAGCACAGGAGGCGUACUCUAUGUAUGUAUAUAUAUAUAUAUAUAUAUAUAUAUAGAGAGAGAGAGAGAGAGAGAGAGAGAGAGAGAGAGAGAGAGUACGUCUCCUACGCUUUCGAUAGGACAGAAGCCUCCGUACUUGUAAGUUAUUUUCUAUGAUAAGGCAUCCGAUUCGACGACAGGUUCAAUUAGGUAUAAUCUACGCUAUUGGAACUAUUUAGAAAUCAAAUUUUAUAAUUUUUCAACAUCAUUUACCAAGUGAUAGUCUCAAAAAUGACUACUUUAACGGUUGAUGUGACGUGUUUUUAAGUUCAAUGGUAUAGAACACUCUAAAUUACAUGAAACUUUAAUAGAAAAUUUUACUUAACAUCAAUAGCUAGAUCAAUGUUUCUGAUUUGAAAUUUGAGUCUUUCAUCAUUUUUUAUGAGAUUUUUAUUUUUAGCCGUUCAUUUUGAGGCUAACCAUUUACUAGAUAAAUGAAGUUCAAAAAUUGUGAAAUUUGGUUUCUACAUAUAGUUCCAAUAGUGUAGAUCAUGUCUAACGGAACUGAUAUGCAUUAAUAUUACAUAAAUAAAACGAUUACAUGAUAAGUUUUUGAUGUAACGCUACAAAAAAGACUAAAAAAACCAAAAUGCUUACUUACGUAGUACCUUUUUAGUGUAAAGAAGUGACAAAAUAUGAGGAAAUUUUAAAUAAAAAUUUUUAGUAGUAAAAUAAUCGAUAUUGUCAUCGAAUAUGAAAUUUCAACACACUAGUUUGUGUGGAAAGUCCUUAAUUAUCUCACUUAGGCCGGCACUCUCAUAAUCCAUAAUAAAGAUCACUGAAAAGUACGUGAUAUUCAUGUAGCGUUUGGUUCAGGUAUAAGCAAGAACUAGCUAUUACAGGGAUAGGUACAAGUAUGGGGAUAAGAAAAAUAGCGUUUGGAUGAAAAUUGGGUUGUUCUCGGGAAUAAGAAAAAUAGCGUUUGAAUAGAUAAUAUGGAAUAAGAAAAAUAGUAGGUAGUUAUAUAUAAAAAAUGGAGGUAUUGGUGGGGAUAGUUAUACCUGGUUAUUAUAGGUAACCGAGAAUUACUAUUCUGGGGUAAAAAAUUAGCGUUUGGGUAUAAAGGGGGGGAUAAGGGGUUAUUC